rnacentral:lncRNA from 1 species
GAGGAUUGAGCAUUCAAGCAAAUCUAUACACAAACAUUUUUUAUGCUUCCAAGUGUCUUGCUCAGGAGAUGAAUGAUGAUAAACCCAGCUUCGCUUCCGCAAUUUUGUUAUGACUGCGUCUUUUAUCUCCUCUGGAAGUUGAAAGUUUUAAUGGCGUAGGCAAAUAUGAAGGCAAAAAUUACUGGCAAUCCAACAACUACACCAGCAACAGCUGGAAGAAAGUCAUGUUUGUAACCAAAGUAACUUCUCAGGUAAUCUUUAAUUAAUUCGCCGUUGUCUUCAAGACGAUCAGACAGAUCCCCCCAUUGGGAUACAAAUAGGCCAUACAAGCUCCAAGCCACGGGACAUCCCCAGUAAUACCAUCUCCACCAAAUAGGAAUCCUCUGUUGUUUGACAAGAAAUUCAGAAUUAUUAAAAAGAAAGAAAGAAAAAAAAGAGAGAGUAAGAUUUCUUGCUUUGCUUUGCUUUGCAUGCGUGACUACUAUGGAAAGAAAUGAUGAUAUUUGCACAACUUACCGGUCGGGGGAUGAGGAAUCCAGAAAAGAGAUUCCAUCCAGCAUAAAAGGCAGCGGCGACGACGGCAGAAAUGUUGUGAUUGGGAGUGACAGACACAACCAUCAUGCCAUAGAAGGUGAAGUACAGUAAUGUGAAGUACAUGAAAAACAAGUACCAAAAGAAUUUCGCGGCGGUCCAUUCAAAUCCAAUCAUAGCGUAGGUAAUGAGAGAAUAGAAUACAGCUUGUUUAAGGAUGUAUAAAAUCUCAAUUCCAACCUGGAGACAGCAAAACAAUUUAUCAGAACAAAAAAAAAAGACUACGCUCGUGAAGUGCCAUGCAACGUCUGAUAUUCAGGAAAUCGGCUCACCUGUGCAAAAGCAUAUGGCAAGGCAGAAUACAUUCCGGCUGCUCUCUCUCUGUAGAAUACCGUCCGUUCUAUAGCCACCACAGGUUGCACUGCUGCGGAGUUUUGCACCCCCAGGAAGAGAACAGCAGCAUACAUUGAACCCAUGGCAUUGAUAAGAUCUUGUGUAGUCCCCCUGCGUUACAACAAGCCAAUACGUUUAGUCAAUGGAACUUGUGUCGAAAUCAUGCUUCACAGGUUGUUUUUCAGGCCACAUAAUGUGAAGCGCUUGUUAACUUACUUUCUUUUACCCAGCUUCCAGAAGAUUGUCCCAAAUGACAGAGCAAUGAAGGAGGUGAAUAAAAAUCUCACGGCUGUAUAAGGUGGAUUGCGCCAGUAUGAUAUGCGUUGUUUCCAGAAGCAAGCCAUGCAUUGCACAGGGAACGCCUGAGAGUACUUGGUAGGGAAGUAGAGGUCUUUUGUACCAGGGCGCGGGCUAUCUAGUUCAUGAAUGAGUGCUUUGUUCCUCCUGGAAUUUGCAACAUAUACAGAGUAAAGAAGUGCAUACUAGAUUGAUGGUGUAUUCUGUCAUUGAAUAUUGGCGGCCCAAAGUAGCAUCAUCUGAUUUAGAGGCAGAAAUUGACUGUUGAAUAACUAAACUGACCUGUAUAAAUCAGAGUUUUUAUAGAUCUCAGCAAAAUCGGCUCCCAACAUAAGUUCUUGUGCUGAAGCAGUAACUUCCAACAUCCAGGUUGCUGGGUUGUAACUAUCUUUGAUUUUGCUGACUCCAUCAAUUGCCUGAAUUUGAAAGAAAAAUGAAUAUGUAGGAUUCUAAUUUGGAAAACAAGCUUUUCAAGUACUACAUGUUAAUCAGAAACUUACCUCAAAGUACUUAAUCAAUUCGAUGGAAUUGUGGCCAAGCGGCCCGACAUAUAUUUCUUGGCCUCCUCGCUUCAGAAGGAAUAACUGCAGAACCAUGUCCAGUUUUAGCAGUUCUCAUUAAUUCAAAAACCAAAAAGUACUCAAAAUUCUGAACAGAACAUUACCUCAUCGAAAGCUUCAAAUAUGUCAAUGCUUGGCUGAUGAAUGGUGCAUACUACAGUUCUUCCAGUGUCUACAGUAUUUCUCACAGUUCUCAUCACAAUUGCAGCAGCUCUUGCAUCAAGACCUGAAGUUGGCUCGUCCAUGAAUAUGAUUGAGGGGUUAGCCACAAGUUCAACGGCAAUAGUAAGCCUCUUGCGCUGCUCAGUUGAAAGACCGUUGACCCCUGGGAGCCCCACAAGUCCAUCUCUCAAUGAAGUAAGUUCCACAAGUUCCAUAACUUCCUCAACGAACAUCUGCAGAUAUUAGUAACAUGAAUAUGCACAUAAGACACUUGAUAAAGGAGACGCACAUUAGCAAGGUUUCAUAAAUUUGUCAGCAUUUUGAUUGUUAAGCCAAAACAGAUUGAGGGAUACAAACCAUUCUGGUUUUAGCAUCAACUUCUGCGGGCAGACGCAGCCAAGCUGAGUAAACUAGAGACUCAUAAACAGUAACGUGAGGAGAGUGGAUGUCAUUCUGCUCGCAGUAUCCAGAUAUCCGAGCAAAGGUCUCCUGAUUCUUUGGAUACCCAGAGAUUGUAACGUUUCCUUCAAUAUAUCCACCAGUUUUCCUACCAGCCAGCACAUCCAUUAAAGUUGUUUUACCGGCUCCACUGACACCCAUUAAAGCAGUUAAAACACCAGGCCUAAACGCUCCACUAAUCCCCUUGAGAAGCAUGAGUUUAUCUUCAACAGCACCCUGAUCUUUCAUUGCCUGCAGGUCAUUGAAAGAAUUAAGCAGUUAUUUCGGAGAUGGGUACUUCAAUGACUAAUUAUUAGCAGUAGCAGUAGCUGCUUAUAAAUCAUCAACACAGGAUUCCUCUCGGAAAGUUUGAACUUGUAACUUGUCCAAGUACCUGUGGCAUGUCAACUGAGUAUCUUAUGUCGUCAAAGGUAAUUGAAUGCGGUUCAAAUGGAAGAAUCAUUCCUCUUCUCCGAUUCUCAUUGGACUCAGUGAUGGCAUCUGCCCACGUAAAAGUAAACCUUUAGAAACCACACAAGGUAGAGGCAUCAUUACAUCCAUAGGCAUCAUUACAUCCCUAUGCAACUUACCUACGGAGCCAUCUCUUUGGCCAGAAUUUUCAGUGUUUUCACUUUCUUCUGGUAGAACAGCUUGAGGCUUCCCGAGUGCUGCAAAAGUUUUGUCUAAUUAUUAGUACCUGACCUUCAAAUGAUUUCAACUUACUAAACAAAAACAAGACUCACGCUGAAGAUAAGUGAGAGCGAGGGUAUAGAAGAAAUUUAACAGGAGAAUGAAUCCACCACACGCUCCAAGUCCGAUCCAGUACCAGUAUGAUUGAGGGAAGAAUCCUUUAGAUUUCAAGACUUGAGCUCCCAAUGUUUCAUUUGUAUUUGGCACAAUCUAUGCGAGUACAGAAUAUAAUAAGAAGUUAGUCCAAAUCCCAGAUUCAGAAAUUCAGGAACCAUGCAAUUGCUGAGCAUAGUAAUUUACUUGUCUCCAGUGCUUUCCCGUAAAUUCGUUAACAAGAAUUGCAUUCUGUGCAUACAUCAAUGGUGAGGACCAGUAACCCCACAACCACCAUUUCUUCACUUGAUCUGCAUCAUUCCAUAAAAUAAGAAAAACAAAAGCAAAUAUCAGUCACUUUUACUGAUUAUGAGGAGAACAGAGAUUUGACUUUGAAUUCGGAGCAUUACCUCUUGAUAAGACAAAUCCACCCAAUGCAAAAAGCAGCAUCAAUGCGAAUGUCCCAAAUGUGUUAGCCACAAUCAUGUUCCUGGAAGCUGCCCCAAUGAAUCUAAACAAUGCUGAUGCUACCUGAUUUAUAGCGACCAGUAUCAGGUAGUGUUUGAAAAACCUGCAGCAAACGUACCAGAUAUGAAAAAUGCGGACCUUUACAAUAAAAGUUACUGAGCAAAGUUAGUUUGAUAGUUUACUUUACUAUAGAAGUUACUGAGCAAAGUUACUUAGGUAGUUUACCUCGCAGGGCUUGGAUCAAAUCCAAUGACAUAGUAGGUCAUAACUACCCAAACAGCAACUUCAAGAAAAGUGAUGGGUAUCUUGAGAAUCCAUGUGGGCAGAGCAUACGACCAGGCAGGAAAAAACCGGAAGUCCCUUUGCUUGAAGAAGACCGGAAGCUUGAGAAUUGUCAUCGCCAGUUCGGACAUUCCAUUAAACAUGACCUGAACGACCGAGAAAAAUAGAGCACCAAGAUAUAUUCCUCCAUCAACAACAUUUCUUCUUGGCAUUUUAGUCCUAAAGAACACUGUCAUUCCGAUAAGGGCCAUCAUGAUUAGCUGAGAGAUUUUGAAAAUGUAGAUAAAGGAGUUUCUCUUUAUAAGCAAGAGUUCUCUAGCGGAGUUGGCUUUAAAAAUCUCUUUAUUGUUAACACCAUAGGUUUGGGUAGUCAAAGCGGCUGGAUGACUUUUGCUCUUAUCAAAUGGUGUUGCAAGUUCAUUUGCUAGUGUCCUUCCAACAUGGAAUGAUUGGAAUGACUCGGCAAAUUCAGUCGCAGCUAUAUAUCUGUAGGGUUCGUCUCUACGUGCCCAGUACUGCUGCUGAUCUUUCUUUGAUGUAACCUGCACAAAUAUGUAAUUUUAUGUUAUAACUGGAUAAGGGGACUCAAAAAUCGAUGUUAUUAUAAAUGUUUAUUUUACAAUAAAAGCAUACUUCUUGCAAGAAGUCAGCAACUCCUUUCCUCUCCGGGCAUCGGAAACCCAUAGAUUCAAAAAAUUCAAGAACAUUUUCUCGGGGGCCCUGGUAAACAAUCAGGCCAUCGGAUAAGAGGACAAUAUCAUCGAAGAGGUCAUAUGUCUCAGGAGCCGGCUGCAGGAGUGAAAUGAACGCAGUUCCCUUCAUAAUAUGCACAUAUUGUCUGAGGGAAUUCACAAUCUGGAAAGUAGUAGAACUAUCUAAUCCAGUUGAUAUCUCAUCCAUGAAUAGUGCAUUUGUCGGUCCAACAAGCAUUUCACCUGAAAUUUUAAGUAAACCAUCAGCUAAGUUUAGGGCUGUAAAGUCUAAACAGGGCUUGCUCUGGUUUAUUAGACGUAUGGUUCAGUUUUUACCUGUUGUCACACGCUUCUUUUGUCCUCCAGAGAUUCCUCUCAGCAUUUCAUCUCCCACCAGAGUGUCUGCGCAAAUUUCCAGUCCCAAAAUCUGCACAACAAUGAAAAAAUGAGUACUUAUUUUGCGGUUUCAUGCUGUUGUAAGACUAAGAGGAAUCUAACGAGAUACGGUACCCGAAGAACAUAAUCUGUGACAACAGUUGCUUCUUGGCCUUCAGUAGCCGCAGACUGGAAUAACCAAAUAGAAUAUGUGAAUCACUAAAUGGACAAACUAAAAUUGCUUUGCUGAUUAGUUCAACUAUGACUAGUGUUAUUUCUUUCUGACCUUCAUGUAUAUAUCAAUAUCGGGAUCAGGCUUGAUAUUUGCUGCUUUUUCUCUUCUUGACAACUCCGCCAACAUCUCUGCAAUUUUUUUUUAAAGAAGAAUGAAUAUACUUAAUCACCAAGUAAACAUAAAAGAGCAAGAAGUAGGAGUAAUCUCCUGACUAACCAUAACGAGAUCCAACGCCUUGGCACCUGGCAGAAAAUGCUAGAGUUUCUCUCACAGUCAUUUCUCCAAUAUGGAGAUCAUGUUGACUAACAUACGCAGCAGUUCUUUGGGGUACAAAUUCAUUCAUGCCGUGCCCAUUGUAAGUAAUCCUUCCAGAAGACUGGUGUGAAAAAAGAAAAGACGUUAGUGCUUUCAAUUAAGAAACUAGCUUCAUAUCGGACGUUAAUUCCAGCAGUGUAGUUGCUGUAGAUUUACCUUCAAAUCGGGGUCAAGCUUUCCAGCCAAAGCCAUCAAAAGUGUUGUCUUUCCAGACCCUGGAGGACCUAAUAGUAAUGUCAUUCUGCAAAGACAAGAUUAAAGAGUUGAACAAGAGACAAUUAUCUUCAAAUAUUGAAGUCACGUACAGAUAUAAAACCCCUGAAUUAGGCCAUGUUUGAUUUCAUUAGUAAUCUGCUUUCUUACCUUGAAGGCUUGAUAAUUCCACUGACAUCGCGAAGUAUUUUAAUAUUCUUCUUUCUGCUUGGAAGUAUGUGAAGAUUGUUCAAGAGCCCCUUUUGAAAAGGUAAAAGAAAAAAAGGAAGAGCGGGGAAACAGACAAGUUAGAUCAAAGCAUCCGUUGCAUGCUUGAAGGUACAAAUAAUCUAAAACAAUUAUAUGUUUCAUAUAACGGAAAAGCAGGUGAUGAAUAACAAGAUUUACCUCUAUCAUAUUGGUAGCGAAGUUAAGGAAGGUAGGCAGAGCACUACUUCCUACAUAAGCUUCUGCCUCAACAUUUAGAUGCUCAUAUCUUACUUCAAUUGUAGGCAAAUCGAUUCCAACUCUAAAGUUAUACCACAGCGAAAACCAAAAAAAUCCAUCAUUUAAAAGAUCAAAUUUUUGGUUGAUUUAUUUGUUGAAAGAUACAAAGUGAAGAGAGCAAUCAGCAGAAGUGGUAGUACCUAUCAAUUCUGUUCCUCAGUUUCAUCAAGAAUUUCUCAUUAUCCUCUUCUGCAACCUUGAUGAGCCUCUCAAUGAGAGUUUUUCUUUCUUGAAAUCCAAAGUUCUCUACAUCCACUUCAUUGACUUCACCUCGUGAUCCAAAGAGCAGCCCUUUUCUCAGUCUAUCAAAGGUUGGUAGCUUUUCAAGGGAAGCCCAUUUCAGAGCGUCUUCAUCAUCUUCGUCUCGCGAUGAACGUGAAAACACUUCCAGGCCUGUAUUCCUCCACAAGGCUGAGCUGUUAGCUCUUAAACUACCUCUUAAACUACCGCUCGGUCCUAUCUCCAUUCUGAUCCCAAGUGCGCACAAUAUGCAACACUAGGCCAGUAAAACGUCUUCAAAAACAGCUCGAGAAUCCUCGAAACUUGGCAGGCUUGAAUCAAAAUCUUAGCAAUUCAGCCGCCUUGAUCAAAAGGGAUGACUACUCAGUUCCUAGUCUCUUUCUUUCUUUCUCUUUCUUUUUUUUUUUUUUUUUUUUGCAACUGUUAGUUCAAAGUACGCCCCUAGCUGCAGAAGGCGUGCAAUUACAGUUUGAGAAAGAGUUGGGAGACGAAGAAAAGAACGUAAUAUUUUGAAGGGGGUUUGAGUUGGAGAGUAUUUAUAGAGUUGUUAACUUAUGAGGUUGUUAAAUUGUUAAGUUGAACGAAGACCGGCGGCUCGUAUAUCUUGAAAUGUACCCAUUUCUAGAAUACGUGAAUUAGGCAGGGGGGAAUUUGGAUCAAAUAUUUUUCUCCUGUGUGCGUGGAAAAUGGGAACAUCAUUGUUGACCAGUGACCCAGGCUCCUUCCUCUGCCUUUCGGAUAAUUUCAACGGUCAAAAUAAUAAACCCACAGGUCUUGGAAGAUUCUUGAUCAUAAAUAGUGGCAUUAAGUUGGCUUCUAGCUCUUUUUUUUUUGUGCACUAAGUUGGCAUUAAGUUGGCUUCUAGCUCUUCACAUCAUGCACAUGGUUGUUUUAGAAGAUCCCUAGUGUGAUUGUUUAGAUUUACAGUGUAGAAAAGUACUCCUCUUUUUUUUUUUUUCUUUUUGAGUUUUCUUUCCCUUUCCAAACGGGAGACUGAUUAAUUUAGUCAGAAAAAUAGUCGGAAUAAUGAAAUUAUUUCAAAUAUUUUCCAACCCACCUUGAAUAGUAAAUUUAUUUCAAAUAAUAUUUCACUUGCAUCAUAAAUUCAUUUUCUAAUUCAUACUUUUAUAUUUUCAAUCAUCUUUUUAUCUCACAUAUAUCACAUCAUAAAAAGUGUUACAGUAAUUAUUUCAAAUAAUACUCUGUCCAAACAAACCCAAAGACAGCCGACUCUCUGUGUAUUUUUGUCUGCCUCAGUGGUCAUCGUGUUUCCCUCAACUUGAUUCCGAUUCCUUAAAAAGUUGUAAUCUUCGAACUUGAAAGGAAUAUCUUAUACUCCCUCCGUCCCGUUUUGUUAGUCUUGUUUUCCUUUUUUGUCUGUCCCAAAUUGUAGUCCACUUUCCUAGUAAGGAAUGUAGUAAUCUUUCAAAUUGUCUAAAAUACCCUUAUUAAAUAUCUUGUUAUUAAUACAUUGUUAUUAAAUACUAACCCACUAUAUUGAAUACAUUGAGCUUUUCCAAUACAUAGAUAAAUGAAAAGUCUAUCUUUGUUAUUUAUUGGCACUAUUGGCGGUAAUUGAAACAAUCAGGGUGUAUUGGCGGUAACUGAUAUUUAUUGGCACCAUUAGCUGUAACUGAUAUUAAUUGGCACUCUUCGUGAUUAGCAUAAGGGUAUUUUAGGAAAUUAUUAAUCUAAAUUUAUGUUUCCAACCAAAUUAAUUACACUUUCUUAAUCUGUGUGAAAAAAAAAUUAAGACUAACAAAACGGGACGGAGGGAGUAAUAAAACUAAUUGGAGAUUGAUUUUGUUGAGGGUGCUUAGUUGUCACUCGUGUCCGUUCCCUCUUUCGCUUAUAAAUUAUAAUAAUCCUUUCAACACUUCUUUUGUACCCUAGUCAAGAUUGGUAGAUAGUUCUUUUAAAGUAAACCACAUGCCAAAAUGAAAUUAAUCGACCAAUUGAAAUACACAAGAGAUACAAAUAAAUAGAAUCCAAUAUCCUUUAAUUUCUUUGUAUUUUCGUUCACGGCAACUAGAAUUACCCAACCAAAUCAUCAAGUUCAUGGUGCUUGUGGCCUUGAAAUGGAAUUUUCUCUCCUCCUAAAUUUUUGUAUACCAAAAAUAGAAAACAACCACUUCUAGAACAACCAAGGGCAGCAAAAGAGUUUUAUAAUUACAUGCUUGCCAAAGGCGAAACCAGCGUAUAUUUGGUAAAUUCUUGCCUACAAGAAUAUAUCUUGGAAGUUGGAAGCAUGUUUUUAUCGAGGAGUUAUCUCCCAUUUUAUGCAGUUAAUAGAUGUUUGUGACUCCAAAAAAAAACACACACACACACACUUAAAAAGUGUGUUUGGAUAGAGGAUUAUUUGAGACAAUUUUUUGAGAAAAAUACUGUAACAUUUUUUUUUUGAUGAGAUGUAUAUGAAAUAAAAGAAAAAUUAAAAAAUCUAUUGAUGAUACAAGUAAGUAAAUCAGUGUAUGUAAAUAAGAUGCAAACCAAACUAAUUAUGGUUGUUGCUGCAUGAUUAGACUCUGGCUGGCUUUUACUACAAAACAAAAUUUAACACAGUAUCUGCUGUAUUAAUCUGGAUCUAUUUUUUUUUAUUGUUUUAUUUGAUAAUUGAUACCAAUGAGAGAAUGUGUACAGCUACAAGCAGUAGAUAAAUCAGCAUCGCUUUAGGGCGGCUCGAACAUGCAAAACAUCCAUUGUCCUUGUCAAUAAUUUUGGUUGUGGGGUAUUGAUGUUUGUUUAACGAACUGAAUUAGAAUCCAGAGCAUCUCUCAAACAACUUUGUCCGUGAUUAAUUGUUUUUGUUAAAAAAAACAUUUAUCUUUUUUUUUUUAAGAAAAAUAUUUGCUUUUCCAUUCCGAAUAAUUACUCUUUUAACUCCGAUUUAUGAGUGAGACAACAUGCUAGUGACAUCAAGAAGUAGCUAAGGGAAAAAGAUAAGGCAGAAAUAUUAGUGGAUAAAGCUUUCCAUAAAAUUAGAUGACAUUAACCUGUCCCGAGUAUUCAUUUGCAUUAGAGUUUUCUUUUUUCAGAAAUUCCAAAUAUUUACCUCGUCGAAGAUUAACUUAUGGAUUAACAAUUGGAAUCCACAUAGUCCUUUGAUUGAAGCAAAACAUCAGAGGUAACUUGGUUUUAAUUUGGCAUGGUUUAAACAGUAUACUCUUUGGCAUGCUUUUAUCGUGUGGUUGGAUUGUAAGAAACAGGAUAGCAAUUAAAGACAGGUUAUUGUGAUGGGGAGUUGUUUCAGAAGGAUGAUGUUCUUCAUGCGCCUAUAUGCAAAUGAUUCACUGGAGCACCUGUUUUUCUCUUGUGAAUAUAUAUAGCUUAUGUUUUGGGGAGAGUUCGAAGGCAUUUUUGCUUGUUAUAUAUGGGAUUUAUGGUUGUUCUCAAGAACUUAAUUCAACAUAUUAAUAGGGAUGGCAAUAGGGGCGGGUGACCCGCCCCGCGGGGGGCUAAUGGGGAGGGGGUUGGGGCAGGGGCGGGGGGAAUUUUUUUCCCCCCGCUUAGAAACAGGGCGGGGGCGGGGGGUAACCGCCACCUGCUUUAAAAAAAUAAAUAUAUAAAAUAUAUAUGUAUAUAAUUAUAUAUAUAAUAUAUAAUUUAAUUAGUUACAAACUUAUGAUAAUGAUAUUAUUAGUUAUAUGUAUUAUAUAAUGUCUAUUAGUAUAUAUAAUAUAAUUGAUAUUAUUAAUUAUACUAAUAAUUAUAUAUGUGUACUAAUACAAAUUAUUAAUUGGUUAUACUAAAUUUACUAAUACAUUUAUACUAAAUCCCUAAUUACACUUAAUACAACAACAUUUUUUUCUUAAAAAAAGCACAAGCACAAUAAUGAAUUAGUGAUUGUAUUUGUGCCAAAAGUGAAAACUUGACUACUUUAGUUAUAUUUAUUUCAUCAUGUUGGAUUGUAUUUAAAUAAUUUUUAUUUGAUUGUUUUUGUAAGUUUCAAUUAUAAAAUUACAAUGAAUAAUAAUUUGAUGAUGUGUUGAUAUUUUAGUACUUGAUUAUUUGUUAAAAUUUAACCAUAAUAAAAUUAUAUAACAAAUUUUUAUUAGUCUCGCAGGAGCACCCGCGGGGAAAACGGGGCGGGGGGAGCGGGGGACGGGGGAUGGAGGAGGGGUCCCCCAUCCCUACAUAUUAACUAUGGUUCUUUUAUCACUAUGGUCUGUAAAUGUGCUUUUGCAGUGACUAUUUAUAUUUUAUACCCCCUAUGGAGAGAGGAACAGAAGGCUGCUUUGUAGAAGCACUAUGGCUGCAGAUGCUAUCAUUCAAUCAAUUAUGCAGAUGAUUGGGAAUAUUGUGUAAAUUAGGAGUUUAGUUACAAUGGAAUUUUGUUCCUGAUGUCUUUCCUUUGAAUCAGAUUAUAGUGCAGGAGUUUUACUGCUUUGUGACUGCAUAUUGCUUUUUCUAAUAAAAGUUUAUUAAUCGCCCGAGAAAAAAUAAAGGCCAUGGCUCGUCAAAUCUUGAUUUGCUCCUACGCUAUUGCUGUGCCUAGAGAUUGGCAAUAAUGUUUGAAUUUGUAAAAAUUUAGCCUAAUUUGAAACUUUAACUCAUUUUAAUCUGUCGCGCACUCUCAAAAUACUAUGACACUCAUAUGUAAAUUACAUUAGAAAAGAAAAUUUUGGAAGAUACCAUGUAAUUGCAAGGAAGAUAAUGGAAAUUAUGCUUAUUUGAUGAAUUUCUUAGAGGGCUUAAUCCUAAAAUCCGAAAAAAUAAAUAAAUAAUUUCUAUCCUAGUUUUGUUUUAAAGGAAAAAGAAGGAAAAGAAGACCAAAACUUUUAGGGUAAAGUACAUAAAACCCCCAUGUGGUUAAGGAAAUUGACACGAAACCUCCUCAUUGUUUAGAAACUCUCACUUAACCCUCCUGUGCUUUGGACUUAUUUGAAUUUUACCUGCUAACCGGCUGAGGAGCCGGUAAUAAUAUGAAAUACCAAAAAUACCCUCAUAUAUAAUAUGUGAAAAGUUACAGAUGCAACGAGUCAAUCUGGAGCGGAUGAAAGAAACUGAGAGAGAAACCGGGUUAUUCUCUACCUUGGACAUAGUUUGGAUUAUUCGGUCUUUCAGCUGAAGUAGUUCUUCAGCCUCGGACAGGGGACGCCUUAGGUUCUCUGGAAGAUUUCUAUUUUCCAGAAAUAAGUGUUCUUGGAUUUCCACCAGCGGCGGAGUAGGAAAGCGAGGCACGGAAAAGUGGUGGAGUUGGAAAUUUUGGGAAAGGGUUUUUUGCAAUCCAUCCCAGUCAAUCUCUGGAUGCCGUGGAACUUCAAUCCCCGGUUGACCCAAAUGCAAGUCCAGAUCAAGAUCCCCCAAAUCAGCAUGAGGAAUGGCCUGUUCCAUCGCAUAGGCCACCGGCAGCGGCACCAUAGACAUGAGAAUGAAAGCAAAGGGAAGAAUCUUUGCCGGUCCAUUCACGACGAAGAGUUACCAAAAAACAGCCAAAAUACUGCAAAGAAAGCAAAGGGUCAAGCAUAAUUAGCAAGGAAGACAAACGGUUGAUGAGUAAACCUUGAGCAGGAGCUUUAUCCGAAUGCCAAAGGCAAUAGAAAAGCCCCUUCCACAGCCUUUUCAUAUCAUCCUCGGGAAGUUCGGUUUGAGAGUCUGACAGCCAAGCUUGAAUUAGCUUGAGGGAUUGGGAUUUGAUUGAGGCGUUGCAAGAGGCUAAGUGCUUAAUCAAGGACGGCCCAGGUAGGGCUGAGAGGGUUGCUAAAAAGGGUUUCGGCUUUGGGGUUCGUGGAGGAAGCAGUAGACGUGGUUCCCGUUUUGUCCUUGGCUUUGAUUUUCUGCAUUUUCUGGGUUGCGGUUUCAGAUUGGGAAGCAGUAGACGUGGUUUUUGCUAUUUUUACAGGCUUGGAAAAUUUGCUAACUAAUCCUUAGACUAUUUAUGAAGUUUUAAUAUGGUGCGACUUUUGAUUUACAACUGUUUGCUCCUCCAGCUGCCCAGUAAUAACUCGCAUCGCUCAGCAAUACAGUUACCUUCUUCCGUUUUGCAUCUUUGGCCCUUCCCGUCCAAACUUUGGGUCUUCGUUUUGCAUCUCUGUCGAAAUUUUUCAUUUGCAGAUCUACAACUAUGGUGGGUGCAAGCUUGGAAGAGACAUGGAGGACAAAAUUGGAAUGAAAUGAGUUUCUGCUAGACACAAGUUACCAUUAAGUCGCGUAAAUAUCACUCGCUAGCUCUCCAGCCGGUUAGCAGGUAAAAUCCAAACAAGUCCAAAGCACAGGGGGGUUAAGUGGGAGUUUCUAAACAAUGAGGAGGUUUCGUGUCAAUUUCCUUAACCACAGGGGGAUUUUAUGUACUUUACCCAAACUUUUAUGGCUUUCAUGGGUUCAAGUUUCGUCCAUUCGCGGACAUGCGCAUCCAUCCAAGUCUGCUUUUCGGAAGCCGAGUCCGUUCAUCAAUUUUGGGCGAAAAGUGUGGCUCGAAAUGGACAAGCUGCUUGCUUCGUACUGGUUUUUCCAACCCAUCCAAGGUAAUUCUGACGUGGCUCAGUGGGCUUAUGAAAAAUUGCCUGAUAUGAGACACUUAUGAGGUUUUCUAAUUUUGUUUGAUGUUGGACCGGCCUAGCGCUAAACUCAAACCCAUUUCAGCUUCUCGGUCCAUGCAUCUUGCAAGUUUAUUUUAUUCUACUGCUUCUUGGUCCAAGCAAAUUCUUCUAGGAUAUCUUUAAAGUUUAAUCCAUAUUUGUUUCUGUAAUUUGAAUUGCACUUUAAAACGCCAAAGGCAAAGAUUCAUGGCCGGUAAAACGAAGGCCAUGAGGUUAUAUACUUAAAAACUUAAUUGCCAAACAAGUUGGGUUUUAGGACAUGCUGUCCAAUGACUAGCUUGAUUCGACAUCCUUUAAUUUCUCCAUGAGAUACGAAAGUUUCAGUGCAAUAAGUGUGCCUUUUGACAAUGAGGAACACCAAAAGUCUUUAGGGCUUGGUGAGUGGGAAGCCAACCUUAGCUCUCAUCAUUUGCUAUUUUACGUGGUUUGUCAUUUUAAGUUAUUUUUUUUACAUUCAUACGGAUUUGUAGUGUACCCGUUUGAUCUGAUGAUGGUUGAAUUUUUGUCGAUUUUCCUGUAGAUUCGAUUGGACUUCCCCUAGAAUAGGCUAAAAUAAGAAUAAGAGUAGGUAUAAGAUAGAUAAGCGACAAUUGACAAAAAAAAUAAUAAUAAAGGACCAUGAGGAACACCAGAAAAUUAUAAAAGUCCAUUCAAACACACCCUUGGUCCACACUCUACUCAGUAUUCAACGUUCAAAUUUCAAGUUUCAAUCCAACCAAAGGGCUUUAUUUUCAUUUUCCACUCACCACUCGCUGCACCACAAACUAACAUCAUAAUUCUAGAAAAUGACAUAGAAAUUCAUAGUCAAAGCACAUCCAUUGGAUUCUUUGCAACAAAAUACUUGUAAUUAGGAUCAUCAGACUCCACAGUAGGUUUUGACAAAAAAAAAAAAAAAAAAAAAAGACUCCACAGUAGGAUUUAAUUCGACACUUGGAUUUCUGCCCCUCCUUAGUCAAGCAGAAUAGAAGAUACUUGUAGGGAUCGAAUGGCUUGUGCUGCAACGGAUGCUCAUCAUCAACUAGCUUUUCUAGUACUUGAACCAUCACGUCCCUUGUGAAUGCAAAUAGGCUGAGGGAAUAUCUUUCUUCACUCCCUGAAUUUUUACCCGAGGAAGUGGAGGUUCGAUCCUGCCAUUAGUCCAUGCCUAGAAAGGCCAAAUUAAAACAACAUUUAGAUUGAAAAUUAAGUCAAGCCAGUUUUAAGCAUAGUUAUUAAACCCGACCCGACCCGACCCGGCGGUUGAACCAGUCAAAUUUGUGGACCCGCCAUAAAAUCGGGCAGGAUUGAUAAUUGGAUCGGAGUUGCAGAUGACUCGUUUGGAAUUGUUUGACCCGAACAGUCAAACUAAUGACCUGCCAAACCCGGCAAUUUUUUAUGAAUCCAGCGGGUUUCGAAAUUUUUUGAAAUUAUCGUUUUACCCAAUUUAUUAAUUUAACUGCCCAUAUCAGCAUGGGCAUUUGUUGUCUUUUUAACAAUUAGAUGAGAAAAAUUGAAAAGAAAUUUAGGAUUUAGGAUUUUUUUUCUUUCUUUGACACUUAGAUUUGUCAUUUAUAUUUGUGUAUAAUAUCAAUAUGAAUUAUUGAAUUAAGGAACACGUAUGGGUAUGAAUUAUGAAAUAUGAAUAGGUUAUGGUUUAUUAACAUUUAAGAAUUUUUGUACUUAUAUUAUAAUUUAUAUGUUUAUUUAAUUAUAUUAUAUAGUAUGAUCCGACGAUUCAACCAGUGAUCUGUCGGUUGAAUCACUGACCUGCCAACCUGAUCCUCCAAUCAGGUUAUGAUUUUAAUAAUUAUGAUUUUAAGUAUUACAACUAGUGUAAAUGUCAUAAUAUAUAGGUGUAUACAAAAUGAUUAUAUAUAUAUAUAUAUAUUUAACUUCCGGUAAAUAUGUAAAACGAAUGAAGGUCAAGAAGGCCGUAGUUUAGUUACGAAGAUUGAGAUUUAGGAAUUAGAUCUUGUUUGGAUUGCGGUUUAUUUGUCAAAAUAUAUUUGCUUACAUCAUCAUUACAAUUUCCAAUACACCUUUUUAUCUUUCCAAUUACCUUUUUAUCUCACAUACAUCACAUCACAAAAAGUGCUAUAAUAAAAAUAUCUCUAAUAAUUCACAAUCCAAACAAUUGAAUUUAAAUUUUCUGUUCCUCCGAGCACUUCUUAAAUCUUACUCUCUUAAAGAAGCAAAAAAAAAAAAAAAAAAGUGGUAGAGCGAAGAAAGUAAUGGGACGUGGCAUACCAUACAUACAUCCCCCGCCAUGACAAUGAAAGAAGAAGGAGAUAAGGAAUCAAUAAGCAUCUAUCCGCCAUUCUUGGUCUUGAUCUCUAGACCAUUUACUUGUGCUUGAUGAAGACUGGACCUGAAGGUCCGGUCAGUGUGAUGGAAAAGACCGACAUUGCUUUCAUCUUCUCGGGGCCCCCUGUAAUUGAUUAGCCUAAAAAGGUAGUAAAUGGAUCCGAGAAGUGAUUCACAAUCUUUCUCUACACCGUAAGUCUCUGCCACCAUCCUCAUCACCACAUGAUAUAGUUCAGCAACAAGCUUUGAGUACGAGAGUGUUGUGUCACUGUUCAAUUCAAGAAAUCAUAACCCUGAAAAGCACUAGUAAUUUAACAUGUCAAGUGAAAUAACCACUCCACUGAUUAACUGAUGGCAGAACACGCAUUCACACAUUUAUAAAUGAGUACACACCUAAAAUGAUUGUUUCCAUUGCGCCAUAAGACGUUGGUGAAUUUCUGAACUCCAUCAAAAGUUGUGCCAUUUUCGAUGCCCAAAGCUUCGAGCAAAAGAAUUCUACGGUGUCCGAUCUAGCCAUGAGAAGGUGAAUCAGAAAGUGUCGAGGACUUUGGUUUCCGUCGGGAGAUCAAACAACUCCAGGGAUGCACGAAAGAUAGCCUGGUGAAGUUCCAAGGAAACCUUACCGUAGUUCGCUAUGAAACAGCCAUACUCUUCCAGGGCUCAAACAACUUCUUCCCGUGUCGAGAGCCAACGAGUAGAACUGGGAUUCAAGGUUUGCCCAGUGAAGUCUAGAACAGGAAGCUGGUUUUGCCUUGAUACAGAACCCAUGAAAAGAAUCGAGUAUCCUGUUGGUAGCUGGCUUUGCUCGGAGUUUUCCUAGUUUUAGAAAUGGCAAAGGAAAAUCUUUGGUAUAUGCUAAUAGCUAAGUACUACUACCAUUCAAUUCACGCGUACGAUACUUAUAAUUGUGGGUGGAAAAGGGUGUUAUGGCAUGUACUCCACUUUCUUUCUCCUUUUUUUUUGGAUAAUUUUUGUUCACCUCUAAUUGCUCUCGUAAUAUAGAGCAUCUGGUAGCAUUUUAUUCAUGAUUAGUGCACAAUACUGAAGUACAGUGAAGGCGUUAAGCAUUAAUUAAUGGAAAGCUAAGUACAUGGAAUGCCUUCAGCAUUUUAUUCAUUAUUAACUAUUAACUAUUGAUAAUUUGAUAUGGUAGAAUAAACGUCCUUUCCAACAUAAACUCAAAAAUCCCCUUUCCUACAGCAGUGCAGCUUAUCUGCUGUUCCUACAAGGCUACAACUCGGGACGGCUCCCUUCGAUACAUUGUCCCCUUGGAGUCACUACUAUUUUAAACGUAUUCAGAUGCGGUAAGAAGCCUUUUGGGUAGAGUAGUUGGACAUUGGGUAUAGGUCAUGGAAUCAAAAUCUCUUAAUUUGUAUUCUAUAAAUUCGGCUUAUAUUCUAAAAAUUCAAGAUUUCCUGAAAAUUUCAUCAGAGUGCAUAGGAUCCCCUAUUAUAAAGUAAGAAUAUGUAUAGAAUAAAAUCUAUCGUAUUAAAAAGAAAAAGAAAAAGAAGCCUUUUGGAUCGUGAUCUUGCAAGUUGUAAUAUCAUAUCUUGUUACUAUCAGAUGGGUCAUGAGGGACUCCAAGGCAAUGAGAAAAAAAAAAAAAAAAUCUCCUCAUAAUAAUCCUAACUUGUUUUAGGAUAAAUUGAGUCACAACUCACACAUGAUUCAAUGCCUCAUUCUUUGGCUUCAUAACAGCUAUACUUGAAAUGCUUUUUGAUCUUAAUAGACAUCGUCUUAGUAACUAGGCAUGUCAUGGGCAAUGUUUGAAUUAUAUCCCUUUGAUCCAGAUUCAAGCUCAUUAAAUUUAGUUAGACCCAAUGUCAAACCCUUUUGGGUCUGAGAAAAAAAGUCCAUACCCAAAUUCUCUUGAAUUUGGGUAUCCAUUAGGUAUUCGUUAUAUUUUUGUAAAUGUACUAAAAUAAAAAUAUAUUAAAAAUAUAUAGAUUUCAAAAAAAUAUAUAAACACCAUCCAAUUUUUAUUUUCAAAUAAUAAAAUUAAUAUUCAAAAAGUUGAAUGCAAUGUUAUGAACUCAAAAAAAUAACUACUAUCAACUACUUUUAUUUAUUUUUAAGGAAAAAUUUCAGAUAUCUCUCCCGAGGUUUCUAACAGUCUCACUCCCUCCCCCUAAGGUUUCCAAAAUAUCACAAACUUCUCCCGAUAGACUUUUGGGUUCUAUUUCUUUCAUCAUCAUAGUCAAAAAGACUUAAAUACCCACACAACUUAGCAAAUAUUUUGUGAUUAUCUAAACAAAUUUAGUUAAGUUAGUUAUAAACACAGUUAAAGUAAUUAACAAUAAAUUAUGUUCCUUUAAUGAAUACAUAAAAAGGCUUUAGCAAAAUGACGCCAAAAUAUGGCGCCAAUUGGUAUAUAUAUAAAGCUGCAGGUACAUAUUGUCACUUCUCCUUAGUCUCUUCCAGCCAUUUUUGAUCAUUUGCAAAGAAUGACCUUUUUCCAUGGCGGUAGGGAUUGAAUCUUGCUUAUAAAAAGAUGAUUCCAUUAGCUACUAGGCGGUACUGCUGCCACCACAUUUGCAGCAACUUUAGGCUUCAGUUUCCUGGACUAUUAUUGAACGAUUUAUUCUGGAAAGCUGCUAAGAGCUAUGAUGCAAUAGGUUACAACGAAGCAAUAAUGAGCAUUAAAGACAUUAAUGUAAAAGCAUGGAGAUACUUAUCAAAGAUUUCACAUGAAUCUUGGAUUAGGCACGCAUACUCAAAUGAGAUGAAGUGUGAUAUGUCACAAAUAAUUUUACUGAAUCUUUCUUCAUGCAUAGCUUCACUUACACCCCUUCAAGUUUUAUUUUUGGUAAACUUCCUGUUUAUUCUUCAUGUGAUAUUAGCUCAUAAUGCAAGACAAUGAGGUCAUAGUUGUUUCUCUCUCCAACUCCCCAUUUUUUGUUGUUACUUUUUUUGAAAUGGGUUGGAUUUGAGAAUGCCUAUUUAGUUUUAGGGGAGGUUUGUGAUAUUUUGGAAACCUCAGAGGAGGUAUCUAAAAUUAUCCCUAUUUUUAAAGCUUCGACUAUAUUUACAUUUCAUCUUUCAUUUAUUUGCCUUUAUUUUUUCUCCUUUUUUCUUAAAAAGUUUGUACAAAUUAUAAUGACAACUAGAUUGAAAAAAGAAAAUAAUCAUGAAGUCUUAUUGUAUUCAGUCCAAUAACCAUAGAAUAUUAGAAUAUUAUAUAAAUUUACUAAUAUAUAUAAUUUAAUUAUAUAUAUAUAUAUAUAUAUAUAUAUGAAUCUGGAUAGAGUCUGGUGUGGGUUUGAAUUUAGAUAUAAAUAAUAAAAAAUCAUACACUAUCCAGACCCAUAACUUUUUUACAGGGCUUGGGUCUGGGUAGGGUUUAGAUCUGAGAAAUUAAAUUCAAACCCUACUCAAGUACAUUGGGUUUGAAUUGGAUCUAAAUAAGGUCCGAUCCAUUGACAUGUCUAUUUGUAACUAUAAACACACACACUUGCGUGUAUUAUUCCCUUGUAUUUAACAAAUUUAUCUAUUUAACUUCAUUCUAUUAAAAAUAUAUUAUUAUUUCUCACCAGUGCCCGCAAGUUGUUUGCUAACAAGCAAGUUUUUUACGCUGAUUCAGAUAAGACUGAUAUGUUUUUCUCUUUAACUCUCCUUGUAAUAUCUUAUUUCUACCAAUGCAGUUUUCACAUUAACAAUAAAAUUAAGUUCUAUUCUGCUUACCUCUUGUUAGAAGAAUCUUUUCCAAUCUUUUCUGUGGGAAAUACCGAAGGUUACCUUGAUAUUUUUAAAAGUCAUUGGUGAAGAAUUUAGUAAACUCGUCCUAUUGGUCUAUCGUUCAGAAGGAAAAAUUUCAUCAUCUUUUAUGAGCAAGGGUUUAUUUUCAAUGGCUUUGAUUCAAACGAACAAGGCUUACCUCAAUGUUUCUAAUCUUUUUGAAUAAUUUUGAUGAUGGGGUCCUUAAAAUAUUUUGGUUCAUCACGAUAUAUUUUAUUAUUCAAGAUUCAUGAUUUCUAUAGGUAGGGUUUCCUUUCUUUCUAAUCUUAAAAAAUCUCCUUUUCCAAUUUCAUAGUUUGUAAGAACUGGAGAGUAGUCCCAGUACUCACAAUUAGGGGUGGCAAUUCGGGUCCAAAUCAGGUUGACGGGUCGGGUUCGGGUCAACCCGUCAGAAAAUCUGUUGACCCGAACCCGACCCGCCAACCCGUGACAGGUCAGGUAUGCUGACCCGAAUCCGAAAAUUUCGGGUUGGCGGGUCAACCCGAAAUGAUCCGAAACUUAAUUUUAAUUUAUUAAUUUAUCACUGUAAUUUCUAAUAAAAUCAAUUUCUCACAAAACUAAUUACAUAAUCAAGUAAUAAAAAUUUAAAUAAAUAAUUCCAAACCAAAUCUAAAAUAAAUUAAACACCGUAAAAGUGUUUUAUCCCAAACAAAAUAUAAAAUAAAUUAAAACAAUAUAAAAGUAAAAAAUAAUAUAAUAUAUUCUUUGUCCAAAUAUAAUAAUUUCAACUUCACACAAAUUAAAUAAAUUCAUUUAGGAUUAAGUAAUUAAUGCCUUUGAAAAAAAGAAUAACUUAGUUUAGUUAGAUAAAAUUAUUUUUAUGUUUAUUAAAUUAUUUUUAAUUCGUAAACGGGUUAUAUCGGGUCAUAUCAGGUCACCACGGGUUGACCCGAAAUCGACCUGUUUUCUUUUCGGGUUCAUCGGGUCCAACCCGAUUCUGACCCGAAUUCCCGAAACCUCAACCCAAACCCAUUAAUUUCGUGUUAGGUUCGUGUCGUGUUUUCAGGUCGUGUCGAAAAUUGCCACCCCUACUCACAAUCCUGUAUUUCGCCAGACACAUUAGUACAGUUUUGGUGAUAUCAAUUUUUUAUAAUUAUUUAGGAUUUAUCUUUUUUUAUAUUGACCAUGCAUUCAAUAGUAUCAUUGAACGUAUAACAAUUAAUUUAAAUUUGAAUUUAAAAUCUAAAUUUUAUACAUUUCAAUGUGUUUACACUAUUAAUACUAGGUGCAUUUAAUAAAAUUGAAAUUUGAAAUCUGAAUUUUGAAAUCUGAAUCUAUUAAAUUACUAAAUUGUUAAUUAUUAAAUAUGAUACAUUUGAAUGCACUUAUUUUUUUGGAGCAAAUUUUGUUUAAACAAUUCAGUGUCAUUUAAUUAAUUCAGAUGUUCCACUUUUUUUAUGAAGCACAUCUGAAUAUAUUAAGAUUUAAAUUUAUUAAAUUUAAAUGCUAAAUUGAAUUAUCAAAUAGAGCUUAUAUAAACUUACGACGAAAUUCUCGUUACAAAUUCGUAGAGGCACUUGUUAGUGAUGAAAAUCAAAACGGAUUUGCUAUACGAGCCCAUUAAUUGCCCAGAUUUGGCAACUAAAGUUGAGUAAGACAUUUGAAUACAUUUAUUUUGCAAGAAAAAUUAUGGGUUUGUAGAAGUGAACAAUCAGUAGAGGCCGAAAAAUGGAAUUUAUAGCUUGGACUAAGACACUGCAACACCUGACCAAUUUUGUUACACCUUCGGCCCAUUUUGGUUACCAUUUUCAAGCAGUCUGCCUCAAAUUUCCAUUUUUAGGUUCCGUUUGAUAAAACUGAAUUUGAAUUCUGAAGUCUGAACUCUAAAAUCUAAAUACUGAAACAAUUAAUUUACUGAAUUUUAAGCACUGAAAAGAAAUAUAUGAAUGUCUGAAUUUUAAUGUUGAACCUAUUUAUAUUAUUUGAUACGCAUUUAUACUGAAUGCUUAAUAAGUUAAAUUCUUAUAUCUUUUCAUCCAAAAAAGAAAUAGAACCUAUGAUUUAAUUAGUUUAAAAUUUUUAGGCAUGAAAAUGACAAUAUUUAUUUUUAAAUCAAAUUAAUAUAAAAGAUGAAAUAUAUUAUAUGAUGGGUAUGGAGAAGAUGUGAAAGUCAUUAGAAAGGAAGAAAAGAGAAAUAGAAAAUCAUUAGAUAGAGAAUAUUAAGUUGUUUAAUUAGAUAAGAAUUUUGAAUAUAAUUAAUAAAUAAGGGUAGAUUUGGUAGAUAACAUAAGAUAGUUGAAGUUAUUCUAUUGAUUCUUAUCAAAAUUAAGCAAUUAAUUAGGAUUCUUGUGUUGAAAAAAAUACACACAAGUUCAGCACUACUUAACAAAUUCAGCAAAUGUAUUUUCAUUUAUUAAACACUCAAAACAUCUGAAUGUCUGAAAAAGUUCAGAUUCAGUACUUUUUAAUGUUAUCAAACAGACCCUUAGUAUAGGACAACCCAGGUCACCGGAUCUCCUAAGCUUGGUCAAAAAAAAAAAAAAAAAAAAAAAUUGCUCACUCUGAAUUGAAUUGUUUAAAGUAAAUUAUCAGGAUCCGUUUGACUGAGCAUGUUUUUUGGUGUUUGUUUUAGGGAAAAAAAUUAAUGUUUGUUCAAAACUAUUUAUUUUUCCAAAAAAAAAAAUUUCCUAUCUAAUACUAUAUGUUUAUUGAUAUUUUUUAAAAUUUAUGAGUAUUUUAGAGUGCUAUCGUAAAUAACUAGACUUUCCAUACCUUCAAAACAGAGCUGCCAAAACAGUCCUAUCAAUCUUAAUUCGAACUAGUCAAAGAGAGGUAAAAAACAGAUUUUAUUCUCCAGAAAUCAAAUCAAACUAGUCAAAGAAAAGAAAAGAAAAGAAAAGAGGAUGCUUGUGGGAUUUUCUAUCGAGAGAUCAACUUCAAGAUAAUAGCACAGCAAACAAAAAGAUUGGAAGACUCGCUUAUUGGAAUAUUCCUGUAGUGGACAAAAAGAUUGGAAGACCUUUUAUGAUUCUAUUAUCGGAAUACUAAACAGUCAAAUGAAUGGAGGACCCAUAGAUCUUAUUAAUCUAGCUCAAAAAUCUUGAGAAAUCAAUAACGCAAUAUAGCUAAAAAUCCUUUAGAAAUCAACUGUGUGAAAUUUAGACACUUGACAGGUGACGAAACUGUGUAAUAAUAAAUACUUACUCACGAAAAUAUAUAAACGAAUAUAAUGGUAAAUAAGAUUGUUUUUACAGGGACCAGGAGAAGAAUUUGUCUCUUUCCAAAUAAAAACUAAUUGAGAGUUUUGAGAAAUUAAAAUUAAAAUAAAUGAUCAGCGUAAAUAAAAAAUAAUUAAAUUAAGACAAAUUAAAUUCAAAUCAAGAAUAAACAAGCUCUAGUCAAGGAAAAAAUUUCAAAAGUGGUUCAUAAAACAGUUCAUCAAUGCAAUAAUUAUUUCAUCUAUACAUUAAAAAACAGGUUAUAGUUGCCAAUAUGCGAUGACAACCAACUUUUUCUUACCGUCUCGAUAGUUAAAGUACGUCCGUUAACUACUUUCCUAACCAAAAAAUAACGCUAGGUACCCCCAGAGAAUUUAAUUUUUUGAUUACAUUAUAAAAUAGAAAAAUCAUGUUCUAAUCAAUAAACACACUACCAAAAUUUAUUUAAAUUAGAUUAUAUGUUUUCCUAACAUCACGCGAGUCACCAUUAAUUUAAAAUAAUUAAAUAAUUAUGAAUUUAAUUGUCUUAAGUGGCGUUAGUUUGCUAAGGUGAAUUAAAUAUCGGGUGCUUUUGAUAUUCAAUCAACAAAACAACCAUAAAAAAUUAAAUUAGAAAAAAUAUAUGAAUACUAACAAAUAGAAGAAAUAGGUAAAAUAAUUAGAUCUUACAGAUGCAGUUGAACCAAAUCGUUCACUAUCUCUUGACUAGAAAAAGAAAAUUGGUUGCCUUCCAUUGGGAAUAAACCAAGCAACUUCAUUGAUAAAUGUUGUAUCAGCUGGGUUCGAUAAUAGACAAUGAAAGGGAAAAGAAAAGCCAAGAAACGACCGCCCCUCGUUCUUGCCUCUAGUCCCGGCUAAAUAAAUAGAUUCUCUCUCAAAAUUUAUCAAAAGCCAAAUCCUUCCUCGACAUGUUUCCUUUCGAAGCUAUUACUUCUACUAAUAUUUCUAAUUUCCUAUGAAAGGAAUAUUUUCCUAAAUUAACAUAAGAUAAUUCAUUGUUGUUUUCCAAUACAAUUUGGAAACACACUUCUUAGGUCUUCAACUUAAAUUGAGAAACUACCACGCACAUAAUUUUCAACUUCUCCGGACUUGAAGGCUAACUUUAGGUUCGGCCACGAGGAACAAGUUAAAAAUCUUCAUUAAACCACUUUUUACUUCAUUUCUUGUCAAAUUCCUAUGGUCAGUACCAAUUGUCAAAUAUAAGUAGAAUCCAUCUAAUGCUAUAAUAUUUGGCAAAUAUCAAGGGAAAAUAUUCACAAUUUAAUAUCCAUUAUGCAUCCUAUCAAUUCCUCGCACACCUAAACCAUGUUUAUUCUUAAGUAUGAAAACAACCAAUCAAACAAUCGCGUUCAAACAGUGGCUAUCACUCAAAUCAUUUAUUGCCAACGUAUAAUUAAAACACACGUCAAGCAUUAGUGGCUAGUUUUUAAGAAAUAUCUCUCCGAUUAGUUUUUAAAACCAAUAACUUUUUCACUUUCUAAAUCACUAAUCUAAGAAUAUAAAUAUUCAACCAACAUUCAUUAGCAAAUAGUUCGACUAUUAAGCAAAAUCUCAAUACUAAAACUCAUGGAUUAGUAGGCUAACCAUUCACAUACUCUUACUUUCAUAUACAUUUUUUCAUUUUUCACCAUUAGCACAACUUUUUUCUCCUUUCUAAGAUGUCCUUAUAUUUGAUUUUUUCCUAUUUUUAGGGGGAAUGCUUGGUUCUUAACCAUUCAAGUUUUUUAACCUGAAUUUCAGCAUCUACCAAAUAAAUCAAUCCGGUUACUCAAUUCUCAUUGCCAUCGAAUCACAUACUUAUAAUUAUUGUCACUUUUUAAUGCGAAAGUCGACACUUGUGAUAAAAAUUCCCUGUUAACAGACAGCGAUAAUUAGUGCAGUAUAGCCAACUACUUGUCAUAAAUAAGUAUCAAAAAUAAAAUUAAAAACCACAUCAACCUACUUCAUUUUUCAACUACGAAGAACUAAAAUUAAUAAUUGAACCAAUAUUUAUUAAAAAUGUCAAAAAAUAUUUACAAUUCAUAAAAUCUCAAAUAUCAUCAGAGAGAUACUUUUAGAUCUUACUAUAUCAUACUUAACACAUUAAUAUAUAAAAUCUUAGUAAUAAAAAAUUUGAGACAUUUAGCCAUUAUUGAUUAGAAUUAACCACAAAAUUGCACAAAAAUGAAAAAAAAUAAAUAAAAUUCAAAAACUUUAACAAAAAGUUCAAUCUAAACGCCUAAAAGGAAUAGUACCACUAUACUAUACCCCCCAAAAGAAUCGAAAGGGAACAACAAAACUUUUUUGAUCAGCGAGGGGGGUAUAGCAGCUAUGGAUAAGGGGCAAAAGGAGGAGUACAAUAGACAGAAUGGUUGCAGCGCUGACCAUAACUAGCAAAGGCGAGCAGUGAUGAUGACGUCCAAACUCGAUGACAUUUUCUAAAUGGCGAUGGAAAAGAGUUCGUCGUUUGGAAUAUAAGGGGGAAAGAAAAAAAAUGAAAAGAAAGAAAGAGAUAAGGAAAAAGAAAGAAAAGAAAAGAAAGAGAAUAAUUAGAAUUUUGGGAUUUUUUUGCUCCCCUUUGUUGGAAUAAGACGCGGGCAUGUCUUAUUACUCUGUAGUUUUCUAAUAAUGAUUUUGAAAUUUUUACGAGAUUCAGCGCGCUCUCAAAACGUGGCACGUUUUGUUUCCCGGUUGUCUUUUGAAAUUUUUGAAAUUGAAAUAUGAACUUGCCAGUCAGUUAGACGUGGGCACGCCUUGCUGGAUAGCAGUUUUCUAUCCACUAAAAUAGUAAAACGAAAGUCAAACACAUAAAAUAUAAGAAAUUUAAACUAAAAAUAAUAAAAAUGAUAACAAUGAACUUAAAAUUGAAUUAGGUUGUCUCCUAAUAAGUGCCUUUUUUUAACGUUCUUGGUUAGACAUAAUGUAUCAUUUUUCAAUUCAAUUGUAAUUCAAACUUUCUUGCAAUUGAUGAAAUUUCUCCAGGAUCCAAAUCACCACUAUAUAUAAUCACCUUCUUUAACUUUUUAUCCAUUUUCACAUCAUAAGUUACUUUUAACCCAUGAUGCUUGGUCGCAACAAUUUUUAACUUACCCCUGUAAUUAGAUUCAGAAAAUUCUCGCACAAAGAGAUUAAUAGUAUAAAUGACAAACAUAAAAUGAGAGUUAAUAGGAUAUUUCAUUGCGUCAAAAAUAUUAAAAUGGAUUACUUCUUCAACAAAUUCUAUCGUAAGAAUAACCUUACUAACAUCAAUCUUAGUUUGAAUAGUACUCAAGAAGGAUUUCCCUAAUAUAAUGGGUGAUGAAUUUGAAACGCUUCUAUCAUUCAUCUAAAGCACAUAAAAAUUAGUAGGAAAAACUAAAUCCAUUAACUUGCACUAAAAUAUCUUCAAUCACCCCAUCCGAAUAAGCAAAUGAAUAAUUAGAUAAUUAAAUUAUUAUCCCCGUUUCUUUUCAAAAAUCCUAAAUUUAGAGAAUCAUAAAUAGAUUUAGAUAUCACAUUAAUAGAAGUCCUAAAUCUAGUAUGAUAUUUUUUAAUUCUAAAAUAUCCAAUCGUACAGGGGAUAGUAAACAUACCUGAAUUCCCACAUUUAAGUGUUAGUUUUCUUUGUAAAAUCACUGAAACAUUUUCAUCUACAUGAUUUGCUCAUCCCCUUUUAAUUUCUUCUUAUUAAUGCACAAGUUCUUAAAAAAUUUAGUACAUUUUGAUACUUGUUUGAUUGUUUCAAUAAAGAGAUAUUGAUUGCCAUCUUCCGGAACAUCUCCAAAAUUUCUUUUUCUUUGACUUGUCGUUUUGACAUCUCCAACCUAUUAGGGAAAGGUUGGGGUUAGUAUUAAUUUUAAUUGAAGAGUCCAAAGUUACCACAAGAGUUGCCUUGUUUAUUUCUUCUUUUUUCAACUCAUUUUUAAUUUGAUUUUCGCUCUUAUCCUUCGAAACUAUAGUUUUGGACCUUUCAAUUUCCUUUCCACUUUGAAGGGUCAUGGCGCUAACGUUCUUAGAAUUCACCUCAAUCUGAGAAAGGAGUCUUCCUUUCUCUUGAGACUCCAAGCAAUGUAUUGUAUGGGUCAUAUGACUCAUCUGAUUUUAUAUAUCUCGUAUACUUGGCUUCGUUUUUUGUUGGAAUUGCAAAGUAUUAGAAACCAAUAUUUUUAGCAUAUCUUCUAGAUGGUUAUGAAUUAGGAGUAACGGGUUAAGGUCUUGAUAGAUACUGCAGUUGGAAUCCUUGCUGUCUAUUGGAAAAGAAAUUUUGUUGCUUAUUUUUCUCAUAACUGAAAUUUGGGUGGUCCCUACAACCUAAAUUGUAUGUGUUGGAAUAAGAAUUAUAUUGUUUGCAUGGCGCAGACACGUUACCAUCCAUGUUCAUUUGUUCAACACUAUCAUCCUGUAGCAUCGGGCAUUUAUUAGUAAGAUGGCUAGUAUCUUUGCAAAUUUCACACGCCUUGACUUGUUCCCUACUGCCAUCUGUCAAAUCAUAGAUGUUAAUUCAGACAAUUGCACUUGAAGUAAUGAAAUAUUCACCUCGUUCACUCGACGAGUUGGCACAUCAUCCCAUGUGCCAAAUUAUUGGGAAUUAUCAGCCGUCUCUUCAAUCAAAUCCCAAGUUUAUCGAGGAGUCUUGUUCACUAAUGCACCUUCACUUGUGGCAUUAGUGAUGCUUCUAUUUCUAUAGAGUAAGCUUUUAUAAAAGUAUUGAAUGAGCAAUUGAUCACUGAUUUGGUGCUGCAGGCAAUUGGUGCACAAUUUUUUAAAUAUUUUUCAAUGCAUAGAUAUUCUCUGGGUUGCUGCUUAAUACCAUAAAUUUCUUUUUACAAAUUGGUAGUUUGGGAUGUAGAAAAAUUUUUAGAAAAAUUUUUUUCUUCAUAUCUAUCCAUGUUGUAAUGCUCCCCACGAGCAAAUAGUAUAGCCAAUUUUUGACAGCUUCUUUUAAUGAAAAAUGGAAGGCUCGCAUCUUAAUCUGCUCCUCUGUGACAACAAGUGGCUUCAUACUCAAACAGACAACGAUGAACUUGUUAAGGUGUUUGUGGGACUCUUCACCUGAUAAACUAUGAAAAUUAGGUAAGAUGUAAAUUAAUCUUGAUUUUGAUUCAUAUGUUACAUUUUUAACAAAAUCAGAAAAAGUAAUGACGUUACUGAUUUAAAUCAGGAGCAGCCAACUCCGUUAAGGCCCGGUUAUUGUUUGUCAUCGUAACUUCUUCCUGCUCAGAAUCAUAGGAAGAAUCCAAUAAAUUCACAACCAAAUUAAACCCCAGAGAUGCAGCAAAUGAUUGUUCUCCCUUUCAUAUUCUAGUUUCUUUUCACAACCUACGUGCAGUCUUCUUAACCUCGGGAUUGAAGAUUAAAUCACUUGUACGAGAAAAAUAAGGUAUAAACUAGCAAAAAUAUCAAAAACUAAAAUAAAAUAAAUACAAAAAAAUUAAUCAACGCCAAUCCCCGACAACGACGCUAAAAAUUGACAGGUGUCGAUCUUAUGCAAUAAUAUAUUCCUGCUCACGAAAAUAUAUAAACGAAUAUAAUAUUAAAUAGAGCCAUUUUCACAAGGAUUAGGGAAAGAAUUUAUCUCGGUUCAAGUAAAAAACUAAUUGGGAAUUUUGAGAAAUUAAAAUUAAAAUAAAUGAGCAAUGUAAAUAAAAAUAAUUGAACUAAGAUAAAUUAAAUUCAAAUCAAGAAUAAACAAACUCUAGAUAAGGAAAUAAUUUCGGAAGUGGUUCAUACAACAGCUCAUCGAUAGAAUGAUUAUUUCAAUUACUCGUUAAUAAACAGGUUAUAGUUGCCAAAUACGCGAUGACAAUCAAUUUUUUCUUACCAUCUCGAUAGUUAAACUAUACCAGUUAACUAUUUUUCUAACCAAGAAACAAUCCUAAGCAUAUCCAUAGAAUUUAAUUUCUUGAUAGUCUUAAAAAUUAAAAAAGUCCUAUUCUAAUCGAUAAAAUCACUACUUGAAUUUAUUUAAAUUAGAUCAUAUAUUUUCUUAACAUGAAACGAAUCACGUUAGGCACCACUAAUUGAAAAUAAUUAAACAAUUACAGAUUUAACUUAACUGGCGUUAGUUUGCUAAGUUGAAUUAAAUAUCGAGUGCCCUUAAUAUUCAAUCAACAAAACAACCAUGAGAAAUUAAAUCAGAAAACGUACGAAUUUUUUUUUAUCGAAACGUUAGGAUCAUUUUCAUUCCAAAGUGUAAACCACACAGUACGAGCAAAUGCUCGAAAUAUCUGUACAAACCAGAGCUCAAAAGCACUGAGGAACAAUCCAUUCCUCAUCCACUAUUAUGCCAAAGGCAUGAUGACUUAAACAUUUACUUCUUUCUAUUCUUUCAUCCCUAACAGACCUAAACAAGCACAUGCGAAACAAUCUCUGCAUGUUAAGAAUGUCCUCUAUCAAAGUAGCUAAACUGCUGUUGGAGGGGCACCUAUUCUUCAUCUGUCUCAUCAGAUCUUGGUUAUGGAAAUGGAUCGCAAUUCUGCUCCAUCCCUGCUCUAGAGCUUUACACAGAAUCAGUUUUAUGGCCACUGCAUCAUUAAUGGUUCUGUUACCCAAACUUCUCUCUCUAAGUGCCCAUUCUGCCAGUAAAGUGUUUGGAUGCCUCCGCACUCUGACCCCAAUCCCCAAAGGGACUUUCCCUACCUGACUCUCUGUUGCCACCUCCAUAACAAUUGUGUCUGCUUCUUCUAGCUCUUGAAAAGGUUCUUCAGUGAUGGGAGUUGUUUUUCCUGUGCUUAGCCUAGUUAUCCUACUUAAGCUUCCCUCCUGUUCCAACCACUCCUUAUGGGCUUUACUUAUAGUCCUAGCUGGUAAACAACUGCCUUUGUUUUCAAACUCUUUUUUGUUCCUUUCUUUCCACACCUGCCAUAAAAUGUUCGCUGUCAGACCAAUAUGCUCCAUCCCUCUUGGCCUUCUCCUAGCUUCUGAUACUGUGAUCCGCCAUCGUUUAAAACUCCCUUGCUGGUCCACCACACCAUCCCACUUUAUUGGAGCAACCUUCCAGACCUCCUGUGUGUGCGGGCAGCUGAAGAAUAAGUGUUCCACUGAUUCUUGUUCUUCCCCACACAUUCGACACACUGGAUCUCCCAACCUUGUCUUCCUAUAGAUUUCAGCUCGCACUGGUAGUGCACCUGUUAUGCAUUUCCAAAUGAAAAUUUUGAUCUUAUGUUUAAUGUUGAGCUUCCAUAAUGUUUUCCACAUUUGUCUGGCUGACUGACUUCCUUCUCUGAUGCUUGAACCAGCGGCCUCUACUUGUUCCUUUUCAGCUUCACUUCUCUCCUUCAUAAGGAAUUGAUAGCCUGAGCUGACCGUAUACUGCCCCCCUGCAUUAUGCUGCCAAUAAUAACAGUCCUCUCUCCCAGUCAGACUUAAGGGGAUGUUUAAGAUCUUCUCAGCAUCCUUAUGAUUGAAAUACUUAAAGAUGGUGUUCCUAUUCCACCUCUGUUGGUUAAUUAACUCAUGCACCAUCUUACAUUCAGAAUUUAGAGGUCUUGGAGUAGUUGGCUUCCCAGAACUGGAUCCAGGAAUCCAUCGAUGACCCCAAAUACUUGUACUCCUCCCAUUGCCAAUCCUUCUAAUCAUUCCUUGAUCAAUUAAGCAUCUGGCUCCUAGUAAUCCUUGCCAGAACCAAGACGCAUUCCUAUAUGUUUUGCAUGAUAAGAUGGAGUCUUUGGGGAAGUACCUAGCUUUCAGCACUUUACUAACCAGAAGGUUCGGUUUAGUGAUUAUCCUCCAAAUCUGCUUCCCAAGCAAGGCUUUAUUAUAAGCUUCAAUGUCCUUGAAUCCCAGGCCUCCUUCAUUCCUCUUCAUUGACAUUUUCCUCCAGGAAACGCAAUGCAUUUUAUUCUUGCCAUUUGUUUCUCCCCACCAGUAGUUGGCCAUCAGAGAGCUGAUGUCUUUACACAUCUUCCUAGAUAGUUUGAAAACAGACAUGGCAUAAGUAGGCAUUGCCAUUGACACUGCCUUGAGGAGUACUUCCUUACCUGCAUUACUCAGAAACUUAUUCCUCCAGUCCUGCAUCUUACUUCUUAUAUUUUCCUUGAUGAACCCAAAGAUCUGGUCAUUAGUCCUGGCAAUCACCAUUGACAGCCCCAAAUAUUUGCCUUGUUUUAUCUCUGCCAUUCCUCCUAUGGAACUGCACACUUCACUUCUAAGCUCCCUCGAUACAUUCUUGCUGAAGAAGAUAGCUGAUUUAUCCAAGUUGACCAACUGUCCUGAAGCCUUUUCGUAUGUUCUGAGAAUUUUCAUGAUUUCAGUAGCUUGCCUGGUGUUGGCUUUACAAAAAAUGAGUGAGUCGUCAGCAAAGAAAAGGUGAGUGAUGAGAGGACCUUGCCUGCUGAUCCUCAGACCAUUUAAGUCCUUCCUCUCCUCUGCUUUCUUCAAUGGGUUGGAGAAUCCUUCUGAGCAUAUCAGAAAUAAGUAUGGAGACAGAGGGUCUCCCUGCCUUAUUCCCCUUUCUGGAGUAACAAAACCUUUCGAUUCCCCAUUGCAGUUGAAGGAAUAAGUUACUGAACUCAAGCAGCUAGUAAUCCAGUUGAUCCAUCUUGCACAAAAGCCCAUCUUCUGCAUCAUAACUUGCAAAAAAUGCCACUCCACUCUAUCGUAUGCUUUGGCCAUGUCAAGCUUAAUUGCCAUGAAACUUUCUUUCCCUUGUCUUUUAUUUUUGAGGUAAUGCAUGUACUCAUGACCUAGGAUUACAUUAUCUAAAAUCUGCCUAUCUGGGAUAAAAGCUGAUUGGGUGUUGCUAAUGCAUUUUCCUAGAACCUGUUUCAUUCUAUUGGCCAAAAUUUUGGAGAUGGCUUUGUAUAUAACACUACACAAGCUGAUGGGUCUGAAGUUCUUCAAGCAAGAAGGGUGCAAAGUUUUGGGGAUGAGGGAAAUAACCGUGUGAUUUAUAGAUUUUAGCAUGUGGCCUGAGCUGAAAAAGGCUUGAAUGGCUGGAGUUAGAUCCCCUUUGAUAAUGCUCCAAAACCUUUGAAAGAACAAGGGGGACAUGCCAUCCUGACCUGGGGCUUUAUCAGACUGCAUGGAAAAAAUAGCUGACUGAAUUUCUUCUUCCUCUACUGGUUUAGUCAAAUUUGUAUUCAUAUCCUGAGUAAUAGAGUGGGGAAUACCCUCAAGGAUCUCUGCCAUCUCAUUCCUUCAUCCACUUGUAAACAAUUCUCGAAAGAACCCAGAAAUUUCUGAUACUAUUUUUUCUUCACUUUCAGCCCAAGAGCCAUUCUCCCUCUGCAGUUUUCUGAUUCUAUUCUUAAUCCUUCUCCCCUUCACCAAGGCAUGGAAGUACUUGGUGUUUUUAUCUCCUUCCCUGAGCCAGUCAAGUCUAGCCUUUUGGCUCCAGAAUUUCUCCUCCUCCUGAUAUGCUUCCUUAAGCUGGUGUUUAAGCUCAGUCCUCUUCUCCUUCUUACUGGGAGCCUCAGAGCUACUUAAGGCCUCCAGUCUUUCCUUUACCUCUGCAAUUUUCCUUUUAGAGUUUGCAGCAAACGUGUUCCUCCAUUUUAGUAACUCAAUUCUACAGUUCCUGAUUUUCCUUGUUAUCUUAAACAUUCUUGAACCAGGUUCAUCCCUUUGCCAAGCUUGCUCGACUACCUGUUGCACCCCUUCCUUAUGCAACCAUCUUUUAUCAAAAAAGAACCUUUGUUUCCUUUUCCCCUUUUCUGGAUCAGUGUCUAAGCACAAAAUGCUGUGGUCAGAAGCAUAAGUGUCCAUAUGCUGGCAUUUAGCUUUAUCAAAAGUUUGCACCCAUUCAUAACUGGCCAAGCAUCUGUCUAAUCUUUGCCUAAUUUCUCCUUCAUUCUCCCAAUGAUUACUCCAAGUCCAUGGGUGUCCCUCAAAGCCUAUAUCUAUUAAGUUACUCUGCUCUAUAAAGGUCUUAAAAUCCCUGAAGCUGCUCUCCUCUCUGAAAACACUCCCCCAUUUUUCUCCAUUUGACACUAUAUCAUUAAAAUCACCUGCUAUCAUGUAUCUAUCUCCCCACAACCUGCUCCUAUCUCUCAAAACUCUCCAUUGUUCCUUACUUAUCUGUCCAUCACAACUCGCAUAAACUCCUAUAAACCACCAGUCACAAUGCUUAUCAUCAUCCUCUAACCUGACUUCAAUAGUGAAGGCUGUUAGAUUAACUUCCAGAACUUGUGUACCCUCUUUCCAAAAAACUGCCAUUCCUCCUGCCUUGUGCAUGGCUUCUACCACUGCACUGUUGUCAAAACGUAAGCUUCUAGCAAUCCUAUCCAAAAUCUGUUUUCUAUUUUUUGUCUCACUUAGGAAAAUAAAGCUUGGAGAGAGGAGGUUAUUAACCUCCCUCAGGUGGGGAACUGUCAAGGGGCUCCCCACUCCUUGACAAUUCCACACCAAAGCCCUCAUUUCCCUUGGGGGGCCCUAUAAGGGAGAGACCCCACCUCCACCUCAGACAAACCUGUGUAUCCAGACAGCUCAAGAGCCUUAGCUUUUUUGCCUACUGGCUCUUUCGAAUACACAUCCUCCAUUUCCUCAUCAAAGACCAGCAUCUUUCUCUUACCACUACCCCCAACGAAAGCUUCCUGUCCAUUUCUCUCUCUCAAAGGCCUUCUUGUCUUAACAGGAGAUUUCAGCUUUUUAUAAGACCUUUUAACUUGCUUUGUCAUAGCUCCUUGCCUCUUUACCUCACAAAGGCUUUUCUCCUGCAUAGCUGCCUCAAAGACUGGUAUCUCUUGUAGGCUGUUCUCCUGCUCCAGCCAUUUUGCACUCUCAUCUCUAACCUCAACCAUUUCCUCCUCUACUACUAAAGUCACUCUUUUCUCAGUUCUGACCUGCGAUAUCAGCAAGAGGUCCUGAUUUUCCUUAGUCAAGGCCUGAGAGCCAUCACUGAGGUCCCUAUCCUUUCCACUACUGUCCCCUUUAUAUGGGGGGCUACUUCGAAGAUUUUCCACCCUUUCCUUCUCCUGCUCUUUAACAACCUCUGGAGAACUCUUCGUUCCUAGCCCUGAAGACCUCAACGUCUCCAGGAUUUUCUCUCCAGCCUGCAUCCUGGUCCUUUCCCUCUCAACCAUUUCUCCAUUCUGAAACUUCCAAUACCUUUUAUCCUUCACCAGGUCCUCUCUCACUGUCCUAUCCUUUGUUGGACUUCUAUUACUUCCUGCUCUCAGCCACGGCCCAUAUUGAUUCUCCAAGAGGGUCCCUGAUGAAUUCCUUUGUUCUUGACACGUACGUUCCCCGUGCCCAACUAUACCACAGCUGUAACAGAAAUCCGGGCAUCUUUCAUAUUUAAAGGCAACCCAUUUGAGUGACUCUGCUACAUUAACCAACGUUCCUCUGAGGAGGGGUUUAGACAAAUCUACCAGGGCAAGAACUUUAAGAUGUCUUCCCUCUUUUCCUCCUGCCUGAGGUAUAAUCACUUCUUUUGCUUCUCUAAAAACUGCGCCAAUCUUUCUCCCUACCUCCUUGGACAGCCAGUGCACUGGCAGAUUCCACAUUUGUACCCACAAAAGUGCAGUUGUAAAAGCUCCAUAGUUAUCUUCUACUCCCUCAGACCAUCUGUUCAGCACUAGAACUUGGUUGUCCAUUAUCCAAGGACCUCCUGUCACUAUCCUUUCUUUCUCUUCUACAUUUGGGAUAUUAAACUGGAAUAGAUUCGGUCCUAACUCCAUAACAGUCAAGUUCCUGGGGUAGCUCCAUGCUGCUGUCACGAAGUUUUUCACUCCCGUAAAGUUGGCAAUUUUUUCCCCCAUAAUUCUCCCUAUCAAACUGUCUGCACAAUCUCUCCUCCCACUACUAAGGUCCUCAAGCUCCAACUUAGCUCCUGAUAUCUCGUUCCCUUCCAGAGAAAACUUUUGUAACAAUUCAGCCAGGUCUCCCUCCAUAGAUGAGCUAGAGAUGCUAGCGGGUAUUCCUUCUACGUACUUAGGAAGAAAGAACUCUUCGACUUCCAGACAGGAAAAAACAAAAACACGAACCCAAGAGAAGAAAAACAGACAACGUAAGAAAAGGCUCACAGAAGGCCUACCUUACAGAGAGAAUACUUUAGAAAAAGACAUAACAAGGUUGACCACACAACAAGACGACAGACAAGGGUCUCAGACAACUCCAAAACACUACCAGACAUGUACUACCUCAGAAAUAGGAACAAGUAAAAGUAAAGGGCAAACAAGAUUCACCUGGCUUUCAGCUACCAUAAAGUGGAGACUUUAAGAUGUCCGUUGUUCCCUCAGGAGAGACCUCCUAGAAGCUCUCUGAGUGCGAUAGUUGAGCUGCAUUAAACAAGCAUUUGAUGCAGACCAGAUCGGUAGUGGUGAUGUUCAUCGAAGUUAGAUUGGAAGGUGUUGAUUAGCCAUAAAUUUUGAAAAAGUUUGAAUUUUGAAGAACUCCCACCAAAAGGGAGGUAAGCUCUUAUCCCAAGAGAGAGCGUCAUCUACGCAAAGAGAGGAGUCACUUUACGUCAGAAAACGUACGAAUACUAACAAAGAUUGUGUAUUGGAAGAAAACGUGGACGUAUAUAAGACAAACACAAAUCUGAAAAUGUUGAUGCUUCACUUUCAUUUAACUAGACUCGUCAAAGUUUCGGUCCUGCAAUUCAAGCUCUAAAAUUUGGGGAGGUCCAUUUCUUAAAUUCAAACCUGUCCCUUAACUAAUAGUACAUUGCUUUAAGCGGUCUUAGAAAUGUUAAAAACAGAAUAGACACUAGAAGAUGCUGCUGGUGUUUUUCUAAAAUUGCCUUCUUAUUCUUAGUCAAAAUUUGCAUGGAAAUGAAACAGGAAAAGGUGGCUUGUGAAGAAAAGUUGUAGCCGAUCAAUGUCGUGUGACUUUUUAAUUUUUUUUUUCAACAUCGGAGUAUCCCAACUUUGUCAGAUUAAUGUCGUGUGAUUAGUAACAGCAAAAUUGAGGUGGUGUUUUGAGAUUUUUUGUGAGGACAAUAAUGGAACCUAAAAUAUUGCGACCAUAUUUUGUUUCAGCGACUCCUAUUAAGUUUCCAAAUGAGUCUGCUUUAGCCCGAAGACCAUUCUCAGAUUACGCGUCUCUAAGCACGAAAGUACAGGCAAAAUAUUUGCUGAUCCGGGGGUUAAUCUCUAAACAAGACAGAUCAUCAUUCAAUUAAAAAAAGUUUUAAAUUCCUUUACGGCUUUGUUUUGUGUAUGUGGGUGGCGUUUAAUCAGCUGUUAACUUGUUUACUUAGCAUUGAGCAUUGACAUAGAAAGAUAAAAGAAUUUUAGAUUAAAUAUUGAUUCACAGUAGAUAGAAAUAAUAAAAGCAAGGUCUUCUGUCAGAAUGAUAAUUGAGAUCGGGAAAAACAAAGCUUUUAUGCAAAAUUGCUGACUACUAUUCAUUAUUACUUUAAACUAAGCUUGAUUGUUUACAAAUAAAUGAAUAACAUAUAUCACACACUCUCUCUCUAUAUAUCUAUAUAUCCACCGAGUGGAGUGGAGUGGAGUGGAGUGGAUAAUGCUUCAAAAUGCCCAGCCCUUUUUACAUUGAGGAUUGAGCAUUCAAGCAAAUCUAUACACAAACAUUUUUUAUGCUUCCAAGUGCCUUGCUCAGGAGAUGAAUGAUGAUAAACGCAGCUUCGCUUCCGCAAUGUUGUUAUGACUGCGUCUUUUAUCUCCUCUGGAAGUUGAAAGUUUUAAUGGCGUAGGCAAAUAUGAAGGCAAAAAUUACCGGCAAUCCGACAACUACACCAGCAACAACUGGAAGAAAGUCAUGUUUGAAUCCAAAGUAAUGUCUCAGGUAAUCUUUAAUUAAUUCGCCGUUGUCUUCAAGACGAUCAGACAGAUCUCCCCAUUGGGAUACAAACAGGCCAUACAAGGUCCAAGCCACGGGACAUCCCCAGUAAUACCAUCUCCACCAAAUAGGAAUCCUCUGUUGUUUGACAAGAAAUUCAGAAUUAUUAAAAAGAAAGAAAGAAAAAAAAAAGAGAGAGAGUAAGAUUUCUUGCUUUGCUUUGCAUGCGUGACUAUUAUGGAAAGAAAUGAUGAUGAUAUUUGCACAACUUACCGGUCGGGGGAUGAGGAAUCCAGAAAAGAGAUUCCAUCCAGCAUAAAAGGCAGAUGCGACGACGGCAGAAAUGUUGUGAUUGGGAGUGACAGACACAACCAUCAUGCCAUAGAAGGUGAAGUACAGUAAUGUGAAGUACAUGAGGAACAAGUACCAAAGGAAUUUCGAGGCGGUCCAUUCAAAUCCAAUCAUAGCGUAGGUAAUGACAGAAUAGAAUACAGCUUGUUUAAGGAUGUAUAAAAUCUCAAUUCCAACCUGGAGACAGCAAAACAAUUUAUCAGAAAAAAAAAGACUACACUCGUGAAGUGCCAUGCAACGUCUGAUAUUCAGGAAAUCGGCUCACCUGUGCAAAAGCAUAUGGCAAGGCAGAAUACAUUCCGGCUGCUCUCUCUCUGUAGAAUACCGUCCGUUCUAUAGCCACCACAGGUUGCACUGCUGAGGAGUUUUGCACCCCCAGGAAGAGAACAGCAGCAUACAUUGAACCCAUGGCAUUGAAAAGAUCUUGUGUAGUGUCCCUGCGUUACAACAAGCCAAUACGUUUAGUCAAUGGAACUUGUGCCGAAAUCAUGCUUCACAGGUUGAUUUUCAGUGAUGCGCUUGUUAACUUACUUUCUUUUACCCAGCUUCCAGAAGAUUGUCCCAAAUGACAGAGCAAUGAAGGAGGUGAAUAAAAAUCUCACGGCUGUAUAAGGUGGAUUGCGCCAGUAUGAUAUGCGUUGUUUCCAGAAGCAAGCCAUGCAUUGCACAGGGAACGCCUGAGAGUACUUGGUAGGGAAGUAGAGGUCUUUUGUACCAGGGCGCGGGCUAUCUAAUUCAUGAAUGAGUGCUUUGUUCCUCCUGGAAUUUGUAACAUAUACAAGUAAAGAAGUGCAUACUAGAUUGAUGGUGUAUUCUGUCAUUGAAUAUUGGCGGCCCAAAGUAGCAUCAUCUGAUUUAGAGGCAGAAAUUGACUGUUAAAUAACUAAACUGACCUGUAUAAAUCAGAGUUUUUAUAGAUCUCAGCAAAAUCGACUCCCAACAUAAGUUCUUGUGCUGAAGCAGUAACUUCCAACAUCCAGGUUGCUGGGUUGCAACCAUCUUUGAUUUUGCUGACUCCAUGAAUUGCCUGAAUUUGAAAGAAAAAUGAAUACAUAGGGUUCUAAUUUGGAAAAGAAGCUUUUCAGGCAUUACAUGUUAAUCAGAAACUUACCUCAAAGUACUUAAUUAAUUCGAUGGAAUUGUGGCCAAGCGGCCCGACAUAUAUUUCUUGGCCCCCUCGCUUCAGAAGGAAUAACUACAGAACCAUGUCCAGUGUUAGUAGUUCUUAUUAAUUCGAAAACCAAAAAGUACUCAAAGUUCUGAACAGAUCAUUACCUCAUCAAAAGCUUCAAAUAUGUCAAUGCUUGGCUGAUGAAUGGUGCAUACUACAGUUCUUCCAGUGUCUACAGUAUUUCUCACAGUUCUCAUCACAAUUGCAGCAGCUCUUGCGUCAAGACCUGAAGUUGGCUCGUCCAUGAAUAUGAUUGAGGGGUUAGCCACAAGUUCAACGGCAAUGGUAAGCCUCUUGCGCUGCUCAGUUGAAAGACCGUUAACCCCUGGCAGCCCCACAAGUCCAUCUCUCAAUGAAGUAAGUUCCACAAGUUCCAUAACUUCAUCAACGAACAUCUGCAGAUAUUAGUAACAUGAAUAUGCACAUAAGAUACUUGAUAAAGGAGACGCACAUUAGCAAGGCUUCAUAAAUUUGUCAACAUUUUGAUUGUUAAACACAAUCAGAUUGAGGGAUACAAACCAUUCUGGUUUUUGCAUCAACUUCUGCGGGCAGACGCAGCCAAGCUGAGUAAACUAGAGACUCAUAAACAGUAACGUGAGGAGAGUGGAUGUCAUUCUGCUCGCAGUAUCCAGAUAUCCGAGCAAAGGUCUCCUGAUUCUUUGGAUACCCAGAGAUUGUAACGUUUCCUUCAAUAUAUCCGCCAGUUUUUCUACCAGCCAGCACAUCCAUCAAAGUUGUUUUACCGGCUCCACUAACACCCAUUAAAGCAGUUAGAACACCAGGCCUAAACGCUCCACUAAUCCCCUUGAGAAGCAUGAGUUUAUCUUCAACAGUACCCUGAUCUUUCAUUGCCUGCAGGUCAUUGAAAGAAUUAAGCAGGUAUUUCAGAGAUGGGUACUUCAAUGACUAAUUAUUAGCAGUAGCAGUAGCUGCUUAUAAAUCAUCAACACAGGAUUCCUCUCGGAAAGUUUGAACUUGUAACUUGUCCAAGUACCUGUGGCAUGUCAACUGAGUAUCUUAUGUCAUCAAAGGUAAUUGAAUGCGGUUCAAAUGGAAGAAUCAUUCCUCUUCUCUGAUUCUCAUUGGACUCAGUGAUGGCAUCUGCCCACGUAAAAGUAAACCUUUAGAAACCACACAAGGUAGAGGCAUCAUUGCAUCCAUAGGCAUCAUUACAUCCCUAUGCAACUUACCUACGGAGCCAUCUCUUUGGCCAGAAUUUUCAGUGUUUUCACUUUCUUCUGGUAGAACAGCUUGAGGCUUCCCGAUUGCUGCAAAAGUUUUGUCUAAUUAUUAGUACCUGACCUUCAAAUGAUUUCAACUUACUAAACAAAAACGAUACUCACGCUGAAGAUAAGUGAGAGCGAGGGUAUAGAAGAAAUUUAACAGGAGAAUGAAUCCACCACACGCUCCAAGUCCGAUCCAGUACCAGUAUGAUUGAGGGAAGAAUCCUUUCGAUUUCAAGACUUGAGUUCCCAAUGUUUCAGUUGUAUUUGGCACAAUCUAUGCGAGUACAGAAUAUAAUAAGAAGUUAGUCCAAAUCCCAGAUUCAGAAAUUCAGGAACCAUGCAAUUGCUGAGCAUAGUAAUUUACUUGUCUCCAGUGCUUUCCCGUAAAUUCGUUAACAAGAAUUGCAUUCUGUGCAUACAUCAAUGGUGAGGACCAGUAACCCCACAACCACCAUUUCUUCACUUGGUCUGCAUCAUUCCAUAAAAUAAGAAAAACAAAAGCAAAUAUCAGUCACUUUUACUGAUUAUGAGGAGAACAGAGAUUUGACUUUUGAAUUCGGAGUAUUACCUCUUGAUAAGACAAAUCCACCCAAUGCAAAAAGCAGCAUCAAUGCGAAUGUCCCAAAUGUGUUAGCCACAAUCAUGUUCCUGGAAGCUGCCCCAAUGAAUCUAAACAAUGCUGAUGCUACCUGAUUUAUAGCGACUAGUAUGAGGUAGUGUUUGAAAAACCUGCAGCAAACGUACCAGAUAUGAAAAAUGUGGACCUUUAUUUACUAUAAAAGUUACUGAGCUAAGUUAGUUUGACAGUUUACUAUAAAAGUUACUGAGCAAAGUUACUUAGGUAGUUUACCUUGCAGGGCUUGGAUCAAAUCCAAUGACAUAGUAGGUCAUAACUACCCAAACGGCAACUUCAAGAAAAGUGAUUGGUAUCUUGAGAAUCCAUGUGGGCAGAGCAUAUGACCAUGCAGGGAAAAACCGGAAGUCCCUUUGCUUGAAGAAGACCGGAAGCUUGAGAAUUGUCAUCGCCAGUUCGGACAUUCCAUUAAACAUGACCUGAACAACCGCGAAAAAUAGAGCACCAAGAUAUAUUCCUCCAUCAACAACAUCUCUUCUUGGCAUUUUAGUCCUAAAGAACACUGUCAUUCCGAUUAGGGCCAUCAUGAUUAGCUGAGACAUUUUGAAAAUGUAGAUAAAGGAGUUUCUCUUUAUAAGCAAGAGUUCUCUAGCGGAGUUGGCUUUAAAAAUCUCUUUAUUGUUAACACCAUAGGUUUGGGUAGUCAAAGCGGCUGGAUGACUUUUGCUCUUAUCAAACGGUGUUGCAAGUUCAUUUGCUAGUGUCCUUCCAACAUGGAAUGAUUGGAAUGACUCGGCAAAUUCAGUUGCGGCUAUAUAUCUGUAGGGUUCGUCUCUACGUGCCCAGUACUGCUGCUGAUCUUUCUUUGAUGUAACCUGCACAAAUAUGUAAUUUUUUGUUAUGACUGGAUAAGGGACUCAAAAAUCGAUAUUAUUAUAAAUGUUUAUUUUACAAUAAAAACAUACUUCUUGCAAGAAGUCAGCAACUCCUUUUCUGUCCGGGCAUCGGAAACCCAUAGAUUGAAAAAAUUCAAGAACAUUUUCUCGGGGGCCCUGGUAAACAAUCAGGCCAUCGGAUAAGAGGACAAUAUCAUCGAAGAGGUCAUAUGUCUCAGGAGCCGGCUGCAGGAGUGAAAUGAAUGCAGUUCCCUUCAUAAUAUGCACAUAUUGUCUGAGGGAAUUCACAAUCUGGAAAGUAGUGGAACUAUCUAAUCCAGUUGAUAUCUCAUCCAUGAAUAGCGCAUUUGUCGGUCCAACAAGCAUUUCACCUGAAAUUUUAAGUAAACCAUCAGCUAAGUCUAGGGCUGUAAAGUCUAAACAGGGCUUGCUCGAAGUAUGGUUCAGUUUUUACCUGUUGUCACGCGCUUCUUUUGUCCUCCAGAGAUUCCUCUUAGCAUUUCAUCUCCUACCAGAGUGUCUGCGCAAAUUUCCAGUCCCAAAAUCUGCACACCAAUGAAAAUAUGAAUACGUAUUUUGCAGUUUCAUGCUGUUGUAAGACUAAGCGGAAUCUAACGAGAUAUGGUACCCGAAGAACAUAAUCUGUGACAACAGUUGCUUCUUGGCCUUCAGUAGCCGCAGACUGGAAUAACCAAAUAGAACAUGUGAAUCACAAAAUGGACAAACUAAAAUUGCUUUGCUGAUUAGUUUAACUAGAUUAGCAUUGUAAAGAGACUGAGAAUCAACAAUCAACUAUGACUAGUGUUAUUUCUUUCUGACCUUCAUGUAUAUAUCAAUAUCGGGAUCAGGCUUAAUGUUUGCUGCUUUUUCUCUUCUUGACAACUCCGCCAACAUCUCUGCAAUUUUUUUUAAGAACAAUGAAUAUAUUUAAUCACCAAGUAAACAUAAAAGGACAUAAAAGAGCAAGAAGUAGGAGUAAUCUCCUGACUAACCAUAACGAGAUCCAACUCCUUGGCAUCUGGCAGAAAAUGCUAGAGUUUCUCUCACAGUCAUUUCUCCAAUAUGGAGAUCAUGUUGACUAACAUAUGCUGCAGUUCUUUGGGGUACAAAUUCAUUCAUGCCAUGCCCAUUGUAAGUAAUCCUUCCAGAAAACUAGUGUGAAAAAAGAAAAGACCUUAGUUUAUUCAAUUAAGAAACGCGAUUCCUAGCUUCAUAUCGGACGUUAAUUCCAGCAGUGUAGUUGCUGUAGAUUUACCUUCAAAUCGGGGUCAAGCUUUCCAGCCAAAGCCAUCAAAAGUGUUGUCUUUCCAGACCCUGGAGGACCUAAUAGUAAUGUCAUUCUGCAAAAACAAGAUUAAAGAGUUGAAACAAGAGACAACUAUCUUCAAAUAUUGAAGUCACAUACAGAUAUAAAACCCCUGAAUUAGGCCAUGUUUGAUUUCAUUAGUAAUCUGCUGUCUUACCUUGAAGGCUUGAUAAUUCCACUGACAUCGCGAAGUAUUUUAAUAUUCUUCUUUCUGCUUGGAAGUAUGUGAAGAUUGUUCAAGAGCCCCUUUUGAAAAGGUAAAGGAAAAAAAGGAAGAGCGGGGAAACAGACAAGUUAGAUCAAAGCAUCCGUUGCAUGCUUGAAGGUACAAAUAAUCUAAAACAAAUAUGUUUCAUAUAACCGAAAAGCAGGCGAUGAAUAACAAGAUUUACCUCUAUCAUAUUGGUAGCGAAGUUAAGGAAGGUAGGCAGAGCACUACUUCCAACAUAAGCUUCUGCGUCAACUUUUAGAUGCUCAAAUCUUACUUCAAUUGUAGGCAAAUCGAUUCCAACUCUAAAGUUAUACCACAGCGAAAACCAAAAAAAUCCAUCAUUUAAAAGAUCAAAUUUUUGGUUGAUUUAUUUGUUGAAAGAUACAAAGUGAAGAGAUCAAUCAGCAGAAGUGGUAGUACCUAUCAAUUCUGUUCCUCAGUUUCAGCAAGAAUUUCUCAUUAUCCUCUUCGGCAACCUUGAUGAGCCUCUCAAUGAGAGUUUUUCUAUCUUGAAAUCCAAAGUUCUCUACAUCCACUUCAUUGACUUCACCUCGCGACCCAAAGAGCAGCCCUUUUCUCAGUCUAUCAAAGGUUGGUAGCUUUUCAAGGGAAGCCCAUUUCAGAGCUUCUUCAUCAUCUUCGUCUCGCGAUGAACGUGAAAACACUUCCAGGCCUGUAUUCCUCCACAAGGCUGAGCUGUUAGCUCUUAAACUACCUCUUAAACUACCGCUCGGUCCUAUCUCCAUUCUGAUCCCAAGUGCGCACAAUAUGCAACACUAGCCCAGUAAAACGUCUUCAAAAACAGCUCGAGAAUCCUCGAAAUUUGGCACGCUUGAAUCAAAAUCUUAGCAAUUCGGCCGCCUUGAUCAAAAGGGAUGACUACUCAGUUCCCAGUCUCUUUCUUUCUUUCUUUUUUUUUUUUUUUUUGCAACUGGUCCUUCAAAGGACGCCCCUAGCUGCAGAAGGCGUGCAAUUACAUACAGUUUGAGAAAGAGUUGGAAGACGGAGAAAAGAACGUAAUAUUUUGAAGGGGGAGUGAGUUGGGGAGUAUUUAUAGAAUAGUUAACUUGUGAGGAUGUUAAAUUUUUAAGUUGAACGAAGACCGGCGGCUCGUAGUUCUUCUUUUUUUUUUUCCCAUUUCUUUUCUUUUCUUUUUUUUUUUUUUUUGCCAGGCGGAUGUACCCAUUUCUAGAAUACGUGAAUUUUUUUUUGGCGGGGGGAAUUUGGAUCAAAUAUUUUUCUCCUGUGUACGUGGAAAAUGGGAACAUCAUUGUUGACCGGUGACCCAGGUUCCUUCCUUUGCCCAUCAAAGCCUAUUCCUUUAGGAUAAUUUAACGGUCCAAAUAAUUAACCCACAGGUCUUAAAUUGGUCAUAGCGGCGGUCAAAAGCAGCAAAAAAAAAAAAAGAUAGUCAAAAUAUCCAGCUUGAGUUCAUAAAAAAAGGGGGCCCUGUGAAACAAAAAAUUCUCUUCUUUUUUUUUUCUUCCCUUUGUGACAAGAUAAAAUUUAGAUAUCAUUAGAGGAUUUAUAUAUUCUAUAGCUGUUUUUUUGUUGAAUGUGAUUACAAGUAAUUUUGCAUUGUGUAUGGAUGACAACUUAAAAAUGUUUUUGAGACCUCAAUCUUAGUUAAAAAUGAUAAUUAUUAUUAUGGGGAGGGGAACACAUGGAUAGCGGAAAAUUGUGAUUUAUCGUUCUUGUUUUCUCGGUUUUGGUUAAAGCAGGAAAUCAGAAAACAAUAAAUAAAUUCAAAGGGUAAAUUUAAUUGGGGCGCCGCAUUUGACCACAUGCGCUCCCAUAACGUUUUGGUCAACUCUUCAUGUUUAAUUAUUUUUUAAAUUCUUUUCCUCCUUCUUUAUAGUUUUAGAUGCCGGUAUCAGCACUCCAUGUUUGAAAUCACGGGUUGCAACUUGAAACUCAUUGUCAAAAAAGAAAAAAAAAAAAAAAAAAAAACUCUUUUCCCAAAGUCCUUAUUUGCAAUAUUCCAGCCAUCAUACAAUAAUGUACCAGAGGGCUGCCAAAGGAGCGGUCGGCAAUCAUCUCUGGAAAGCUGUCACAUUUUCCCCCUAGUGGUGCUAACUGACGAUUAAACAAACAUAUUCUAAUAUGAUUCUCUAUCUACUAACCACCAAUAUAGGUUUAAUCAUACUUUGCCCCCUCAACUAGGGGUAAUCCCACUUUGUCCCUUCAACAAAAAGAAUACGGACAUACUUUGCCCUCCAUCAAGAGCAAUCAACCCUCAAGUCUGUGAAGAACACCAUUUUAAAAAGCGAUGAUGAUUGGAUAAAAAUACCCUUUGGUUGCCAAAAGACACAAACAUAUAGCAAUAAAAUGCAACUUGAUCAACGGUACAAAGAAACUCUUAUACUCACAAAUUACUUAAUUUUGGACCUAAAACCAUAAGAGAUUAUCGAUCGAGAAAAGCAGAGGAUUAGUGGUUGCUAGUAGAGUAAUUGAGGAGUUUUCGUCGAAAAAAAAAAAAAGAUUUGCAACAGUUAACAAUUGAUCAUUUGAUGAUUUAGGGUCAUGAAAUUUUAUUUUUUUUUUGUGAGUGCCAUGUGGUCCUUAUUUUCGGUUGAAGGAGAAAUAUUUCAACAGGUAAAACACUCAUGAUUUCAUGAUUUUGAGUUACCAAAAAAAAAAAAAAUAUUUUCUUUUUUUUUUUUUUUUCUUUUAAGCUAAGACGUUGUGCUACUUUUGACCAUUUAUAUGGAUGUUUGUUACAACAACUACAAAUAUGUACUUGUUAUUUAGGAGUCCCUUUUACUUUUAGUGCAAAAUUCGAAGAAGAAAUUACUUUUAGUGCUUUUUAGGAGUCAUAUAUUUUGAGUGGAGAUUUAGUGCUACUUUGCGAGGCUAAAGUGUAUAUAGUCUCUUGAUUGAGGGUGACGAACUGAACCUCCCCCAGUCUGGGCCAGGGAGGCAAAGUAUAUGAUUAGCCCAGAAAGAAACCGACGCUGUUUAGUUUAAAAUAUGUCAAACCUAAUAAUUCUGCAUUGCUUUCGCAUCAAACCUAAUAUAUUUUGUUUAAUUUAAAAUAUAUCAACAGGUAGCAAUCUGACUCUGCCGCACAUGAUUCGAUCACACGUUUUGAGGACGAAAUCUAACCAAUAGUCUGCAUUGCCCUCGUCAAGUGCAGAAAAAAAAAAAAAGGAAGACCGAAGACUUUUCACAAUCAACUUGAUGAAUUGAGCUGGCAAUUGGCGUGAACCACUUUUAAUAAAUUCCAAAACCCGUAAAAUUCACACAUCCACACGUUAGUAUUCUGGAAGCUCUGACGGGCACUACGACUUGGAUUUUUUUUUUCUCUUUUUUUUUUUUGGAAUUUUUAUGCAGGGAGCCUGGACCGCUGGACGAGAUAUGUCGAAAUAAUAAUUCCAAAUCCUGUUGCCCACACGUUAUAUUUGUUACUUCAAAUUUUUCAUUCUGACAGGAUAUAAAUUGCUCUAAAUUCCUGUGCUCGUAAGGGUGGGUGGAUAAAUAAUUAAAAGCACAGCACGCCUAGAUCUGUUGGACAAAAUAUUUAUAUAUAUAUAUAUAUUCAAUUAUUAAUUUGUGGGCUAGCUUCUUAACAUAUUUAUUAAUUCAUGACCUAUCUUAUGGUAGUAGUACUAUCCUAAAUUUUAUUAGGAGUAUUAUUUUUUUUUUAAAUUUUCAUUUUCAAGCAAAAUAUAUUGGGCUUCAAGUUCCUGAUAUUUAGGAAAUGAUGUCAAACGAUUAAAGAUUUUAACCAGGAAUACUAGUCUAUCUUUUCUUUUCUGCCCUUGAAAACUCAGGAUGCAUGCCCAACUUUUUUGUGGAAUUUCUUUUUCCAAACGUUUGGAUUCAAGUAACAGGACGUAGACAGUUUUUCUCGGUCGUGCACGCGGACUUUACUUGCCCAUUUUGGUGGAGAAAAAAUGAAGAAAUAUCAUCAUCGUCAUGUUAGUAAGUAGUAAUUUGAUGAGGUUUCUGGACCUUUUGGCUUUGUGCUAAGGGGGGAGUGAGGAGCGGCCAUGAUGGAUGGAUAGGCUGCAUUUGCCUCGCAAAUUCCUCCUCUUUUGAACUCAAGACUUUCUCUUCAAGACGCAGGACUUGACCAGUCUACCACCACCCAAGUGCUCGUGAAAGUCAACAGUCUCUUGGGCUCUUGCUACCACCAACCAAGACGUGAGAGAUCAAAAGUUUAAUUCUUAUUUUUAACUUUAUCACUUUAAUUAUAUCUAUCAGUUAAUUAUGAUUUCUUCCGACGGAAUUUCAUUGACCCCUUUUUUUAGAUUAGAUUAAAAUAAAUUAUAUAAAUAUUGUCGUAACGAAAAAAAAAAAAUUGCUCGUGAAAGUUUUGGCUGGGAGCUUUCUCAGUCUUUCUUUCAGUCGAUUGAGCAAACUUCAAAAUAUCUCCACCUCUUGUCAUGUCAUUCCAAAACGGUCCUAAUAAUGAUGAAUAGUUCAGCAGCCAUGAACACCUGUCCUGCAGCGGCUGACCACGAAUUACCCAGUACUGCAAAAUAUCCAUCUCCGGUCUUAUCCAAACGGAUUUUGUUCUUUAAAUCAUGAAGAAACCAAAGGAUCUUAUAUCACAACGGGUCACAUACGCGCUCUUUGUCCUGGCGAUCAUAUGGUUUACCAAAUCCCGACUCGUGAGCUUUUUGUUUUUUUUUUUUUAUUUUGUGCUGUCGUAUUUAAUGGAGUGCACCGGGUACGUACCUUAUUAGAAGAUGUUACUGAUUUGACACCAUAUCAAUAGCCCCAUUUGAUAUGAAUAUGAAUAUGACAAGAAUUAAUAUAAAUAUGAAUAUGGCUCGGAUUUGAUAGGAUAUGAACAUGGCUAGAAUUAAUUGUCAAUAAUUUAUCCCAGCGUGUUAAGGAUAUUUUCUUGUAAGCUAUGGUUAGAGUGCCCUUAUCAACACACCUAAUUUAUCAUGUGAAUAAAUCGUCGCAAUUGUUGUAUUUUUUAUAUUUAUAUACUUUUUCAAAUUAUCCACACAUUUCUUUUUUUUCAAGAGUAGAACUAAUAUCUGAAUUCUUUCGGAUGUCCAUUGAAUGAUCGUUAAUCAAACCAUUAUAUAUUAAUUGGUUAUUUCAACUUACUCUAACAUAAAAGUUUAUAACUUUAACGUGUUAUCUUAUUACUAUUUUUUUUUUAAUCACAAAAAAGAAGUGAAGUAUUCACUUUCACUUGAUUAGCUUCGCUAGUAGUGUACUGAGUCUUACCAACUUGAGCUUGUGGAAGCAGAAAUUUGGCAGUCGUUGAUCAAAUUUCCAAUGUCAGAAUCGUCUCCAACUAAGUCGUAAGCAAUUGUUUAGUUGUUGCUGCAUCCCCCUUUCCAAGUUUCAACACAAAUGCUUGGUGCUGAAAUCCAUCCGGAAGGGAAAUGCCAAACAUUUAAUCUGGUCUUUCCAAACAUUUUAGACCUCGUCGUGGUCCGCAAUAGCCACACCCAGUCCACCUGCCUUCUGCAGGUUCAUAAAAAAAUUUUAACUCAUCCACUUUUGGAGGAUUCCUUCCAGCUAGUUAUUAACAAAUCUAAUUUUCCCUCUGCAACCUGUCUAAAUUCCAGCAACAUGAGAAUGCUGGAU